rnacentral:lncRNA from 1 species
AAAGCCACCAAAGUUGCAGUUAAAAUUGUCAUAUCAGAUAUAUGUAGUCAAGCCACUAUAUUACAACCAAGCUGCCAGAAUAGAAGUGUGGUUAAACCACCAGAUAGUGCAGAUUAUUAAAUUACUAGAUCUUCCUCCUUACCAUAUUAUCCCAACCCCAUGCGAUGUGACAUGGCAUGUAAGUACAAAAACAAAAUAAUAAGCAUGUUGAACAUGCAUUCAUAUCUUUAACAGAAACCAGUAAGCAUGCUAUUUCAUGCAUUGUAGAUAAAAAUAUAUCAAAUUACAAAUCACUUUAACCAGAAAAACCACAAUGUCACAUGCUAUGGAAUUUAAACAAAGCAUAACUCAUCAUUAAACAGAGAUACAUUGCUAAACAGAAAACAAGUAAUAGAACUCCCAAAUUUACAAGUCAGAUACGAAUCACACACUAUUGACACGCUUGCAAAUGUUACACAUGCGAUAUCAAUCUUACGAAUAUCAAAUACAAGAGUCACACAUACUAUACACAUCAUAUUUUCGGAUAUUAUACUAACAAAAGCAGAAUAUCAAAUCUCACAUUUUAUAGUCUCAUUUAUACAGUAAAAACCCUACGGAAGGCCUAAAUUGGAUUCGCACAUCAAAAACGACCCUAAGGUAAAAUUUCAGAAAAUUGGCCCACACGACCCAAUUGGCUAUCUCAUGUGGACCACACAGCCCAAUUGACCUAGCUCGUGUGGCUCACAUGGCCUGCCACACGACCGUGUGACAUCGAUAAUGGGCUUUUCGGUAUCGUGUGGUUCCCUGUUUUUCGAGUUUUUUUGUUACACUCCCGAUCGUUAUGACACACAUCCAAACCCUAAAACAACAAUUUAAUUAGGUUAAUUAGCAACACUAUACAAAAUAUCCAAACACUAUAUCGGCCAUACACACAUACUAAACAUUCUGCAUUAGCCCCAAAAAUCAGCCCCUUAUAAACUUUUGGUCACUUACCCCCGAUUGAAGAAACAAUUCCUAAUGCUCACUAAUUUCCAGAGGAAUGCAUGCCCCACGUUCCACACCUACAAGAACCACAAAGAAAAACUAUUAGCGUCCACAACCAGAACACCUCAGUAACACGACAACCUUGCCUUUUACCAUGAACAGAUCUCACUUACAAUAAUAUUAAUAGACAAACACAAUUGAAAUCCAAAAUUCGCUUACCACACUCAACCAAUAAUGGAUCCGGAAGAAAAUUGACACAGCAAAAAAGGUCCGAAUGAUAAUAGAGCAACAGAUAACAAUAACAAAAGAGAAAGAAAGAAAGAAAGAGUUGGAUUGCUUAAUAAGAAGGUAUAGACGAUUUUGGGAAAGAAAAAGAAAAAGAAGGAAAGAAGGAAAAGAAAAACGACAGAAAACUUUCAGAGAGAAUAAAACCAAUGUGAAAACAAAACUCGGUCAAAUGGAGAAAGAGGAGGAGAGAGUGGUAAGUUGUGGCUUUACCAUUGAACUAGUAGACUCAUUCUUGUCAUCAGUUGAGCGAAAAUAUUAUUUAUGCCAGAUGAUUUAAGGAUAGGGGUUAGGAAAAAAUAAUAAAAAUUAAAAAAAAAAGAAUCAAACGCAAAACCUCUCACACACAAGCACAACACCUAUCCACUGAACCAAAUAACUUCACUUGAUAUAAUUUUCACAAUCUUAACUCAAAAUAAAGAUGUUAUCACUCUUGGUUUCACUAACCCAAUUUCUACUAAUCAGGUUUUUGGGAUGUGACAAAACAGUUAUCAAUCCCUCUUAACUCGCUCGAAAUAUAAGCUUAAAAGUACAUUAAUAACUCUAUAUAUUAGAGUUAUCAUUUACCAUAAAAAAAUUCAACAUGGCCACAUCACCAUUUAACAGAAAAGAAUUUAACGAACGGGCUAAUUUACACGUUUCAAAACGCAAAAAGAUUAAUUUACCCGAUUUUUUUCAAUAAAAGAGCCAAAAUGCAACCUGCUCUAAGGACAUCGGCUUCCUUAGUACUUUUACCUAAGCAGUAUUGAUUCAUAAAUCAUGAUCUUUGGGGAUUUGAUGCCUACUUUUACCUAAUGCCUUGUUCAUUAACUUUCUCUACUUCAAAGGAGUUUCUAAGAGCAAUCAAUUCAAAUUUCACUUCAUUGGCAUGAACAAAGAAAUGUGAAAAAAUCAAUUAAGUUCUUGUAUUAAAUUCGCACUCGAUUCCCUGUUAUUCAUUAAACAAUUAAUUAAGCUCAUUCGUUAACAAAAUUUGUGGUUAAUCAUGUUGGCUGUUAAAAUAAAUUGAUAGACCAAUCAGGCAGUGAUGUGGUUAAUUCUAGUUUAAUGUAAUAUUUUCUCGUAAAAAUUAAAAAAGAUUAAAAAUAUAAAAUUAUUAAAAAUUGGAAAUAUUAAAAAUAUAUAUUAAAAUUGUUAUAAGAGUUAGCCUUUGGUAAGUUAGCCUUUGGUACAUUGACAAUGUACUUUUUUUUAUUCCACAAGUAGUCUUAAAAAUUUUUCAUGUGUCUCUAUUUUUUAAGUAUUUUAUUUUUUAAUAUUUUACUAUACCCCUACAACACACUUGUCAACUCCUUGGCUUUGCUUAUGGAAUCUAAAAACUCCAUUGAUAAUGUAUCAAAUAUUUUAUUUUGAUAUAAACUUAUAAAAAUUAUUAAAAAAUAACUUAUAAAUAUUAUAAAAAUAUAAAAAUAAAUAAAAUUAAUAAAAACAUACUUAAAAUUAGGUUUGUAUUUGGUACACUAGCACUAUACUUUUUUUUUAUUCUGCAACCAGCUUUACAGAAUUACCAUGUGUCUUUUUUUUAUACUUAUUUUUUUAAUAUUAAACUAUAUCAUUAUAGGAUACUUGUCAACCUCUUUGACUCUGCUUGUAGAGUUUAAAAACUCUAGUAAUAGUGUACCAAAUAUUCUCUCUUUAAAAUUUUAUAAAAUGUAUAAAAAUUCUUAAAAGUCAUAAAUAAUUAGUUAAAAAUAGUAAAGGUAUCAAAAAAAAUAUUUAAAUUGAUAUAAAAUUAUAAAAAAAUAAAAAAAAUCAUAAAAACUUGAACAUAGCUAGAUUAGUCAGAUAGACCGGUUAGACCGAAAUCGAAAAGCGUACUAGUUUGAAGAAAGCCAUUACACUAGUUAACUUAAAAAUCGGGCCAUUGAACCGAUUUUUUAAUAUUUUUAUAUAAUGUUUUAUUUAAUUAAACUCAACAGACCGAUUGAACAGGCUGAACUAACGAACCUAUGGCCUGACCAGUUCGAUCACUAGCUUGGUUCUGAAAAUCUUGGUCAGAAUAUUUCAUACUAAUAUCUGCUAAUAGUUGGAAAAUGAAAUUUUGGUUUGAUAGUACCUAAUUGUACCAAAAGUUCUUUAUAUCACACAAUACUUAGCAAUUAAAUUUCAAAUUUUCAAGGUCCAAAUUAUUAUAUUGUAAAAAUUAGUGAUAAAAUUUUAAAAAUAAUAAUAAUUUAUCCAUAAAAAGAGAGAAUCCCAUAGUUAUCAUUUUAUUUUGGAAUAUCAAGAAAUGUCACGUCUUAAAAUAAAUGGGGUUAAUUGAAAUGAUUAAAUAAGAAAUGAGCCUUAGGAUUAAUGGUUAACUAUUAGUUCCCCUUCUUAGAGGUCUUAAGUUUGAGCCCUCUCCUUCCAUUUCAUUUUCUUAUGAUUUUUUGGCAAACAUGGGUAAAUUACUAGUGCCGCCCCUAAAGUUUACUAACCCCAGAUAUUUUGUCACAUCCAAAAAAUAGGUCUAGAUAAAAUAGGGCUAAAAUUUGAAUUUUUUAAAGCAUAGGUUAAGAGAAUUAAAAUGCUUUAAAAAUUAUUUUUGUUAAGAAUGAGUUUAUUGGUUCAGUGGCAAGGUCUUAGCUUACCCAUAGGACCUAAGUUUGAAAUCUCUUGCGAGCAUUCAGCAAAAAUAUUUUAUUUUCCUAUUUUAAGUUAUAAAAGUGCCAAAUUUACAAAAUAACCUAGCCAAAAACUUUUUUUUCACUUUAGUCCUUAUUUCAAAAUUGUCUUUGUAACAGCCCAAAUUUGCCCGGGCCCGUGUAAUGAAAUAAACAAAAUAAAUAAAUGUCCAUGUUGUAAAUGUCCAGUAUACAAAUGGGCCUAAAGGCCUGAUGACUUAAGAACCAUGUAGCCUAAGAACCUUAUGCCCGGUUACACCUAACCCACAAAUGGGCACGGCCCAAGGAGGCCCAAAUUACAAAUAGAGGAUGGAAGACCUAGGAUUUCUGAAACCCUAGGCGCCGCAAACGCUAGAGGAAGGUUCCAGAAUUCGCGCAGCAAGCACGCCAAUCGUCACACCCUUUUUGCGCCGUUCCAGUGACCUUCAUCAACACCUCCAUCAGUGUCGUGAUUCCAGGCUCCGUAUCGUGCCGUGAUCGGCGCAUGGAUCAAUGCCAGCCCACUCCUCGCCGUGAGAUCCUCGAUGGUACCUACAAAAAAAGGAAAGAGGAGCAGCAAAGACAAAUGCAAAUAUGGCAAGAAUCGAGCAGAGAAUAUACAAACAUGCAAAUAGAGGCUAUAAAAGCCGAAUGAUUUCAUUGUAACUGGGAAACCUUUUUUUGAUAUACACGAAAAUAUAUACAAAAGAGAACAGAUAUACGGAUAUUCAGAGAAAUUCAAGCAGUUUCUUUAAAAGGUGACUUAAGUUUCAUAUUCUGUUAUCUAUGGUUCAACAUGUAUGCGAAUUAUUUUGGUAAAAAAUUGGUAUUUUAAAAUGGGAAAAGGGGUUACCUGCGAUUCGCCAAGGAAAGUGAAGGUUUUGAACCUUCCAAACCGUCAUGUACGGUGGCACGUGUAGCGCGUGGACGCAUGAACCCAGUGACCGGAGUCUGGUCCAACAGGAGGUCGGAGAAACCUGGAAAGGCUCUCCUAUUCUCCUUCUCAGAGAAUUUUCUUUGUUUUUUUUUAAACAUGGAACCUUUAUUGAUAGCCCAUACGACGUCGUUUUAGAAUGGCCGUUUAAUAACCAAAACGACGUCGUUCCAAAGUUAGGAUCCGCGCAUUGACUCAAGACCCAGGUAGGAUCCGCGCAUUUUUGUUUAAAGGGCUAAUUUCCCAAUUGAGCCUUCCGCAUUUUUAUGUUUUCUAAAAUUCAUUUUAUUUUUAUUUUAAUCUGGCCAUAAACUUUUACAUUUAUUGUAAUUUGGUCCUAAUAGCCAUUGUAAGACAUAUGCCGAGAACGAUGUCGUUUUUGUGGGAUUAGGGAUAAUUUCCUAGUGAGUCCCUCAUUUCUAAUGCGCAUUUCAAUUAAACCCGAAUUUUUUUAUUUAUUUGUAAUUAGCCCUAGUUUUUUUAAAAAAAAUUCGAUCUUAGUUUUUUUAUAUAUAUUUAAUUUAUUUGCAAAUACUAUAUGUAUUAUUUUUAUAUAAACAUUAGUUAUAUAUAAAUAGUGUAUAUUAUUUUUAUAUUAUAAACGUUUUUUUAAUAUUAUAGAUACAUUUUACUUCAUAUAUUAUUUAUCUUACUAUAUUUAUAUAUGGAAAUUAUUAUAUUAUAUCGUUUUUAUUACUUAUUAUUUUAUUUUAUAUCAUUUUAUUAUUAACUAUUUAUUAUAUAUAAUUAAUUUUUUUAAAAAAUUAUUACUAAAAAUUACAUUUAUAUGUCAUUAUUUAGAGGUGAGUUUAUAAUAUUUUUUAAAAAAAAAAGUAUAAAAUUUUGUUCCUAUUCAAUAUGAUGAUUUGACCUUGAAUUAUUAUAUUAUGUAAUGUAUUACAUAUAUUAAUUAUUUCUAAAAACUCUCCUUUAUCAUUUAUACAUUGCUCUAAUAUAUUUUUUUUGUUUUUUUUAUGUUCAUGAUUUGUUUAUUCACUUUAUAUUUUGUAUUUAUUGUUUUAACAUGCUAAUGCUAUCUCACUAGCUAUUUGUUGUUUACAUGAUUUGUCGUUUAUCACGUUUGCAUGAAAAUUAAUUGUUUAUGUUGAUUUAAGCUACAAUUGCAUGAAAUAUUGUUGUAUAUAUAUUGCAAUUUAUAUUAUUGUAUUCAUUAUGCGCUAUGUUGUAUUUUGCAUGUAACGAUAAUGCAUGUAUAUUUAUGUUAUCUAUGAUUAUAUAUGCAUAAAAUGAUAACGUAUAUUGUGUAAUUUAUGCCAUUAUUCAUUUUUUUUCAUAUAUUAUAUUUGCAUAGAAUGUUAAAGUAGGUAUCAUGUAGGAUAAUUUAUUUAAUAUUGAUCCUUUGCAAUAUGUUAAAUACAUCAUCACUUUAAAGAACUUUUAUAUUUCAUUCGAUCCAAAAGGAAUUUUAAAAAAUAAGGCAAUGUUUUUUUGGUAGUUAGGAAUUUGGGAAGUAGUGCCCUAACAUGCUAGGUUACAAUUUCCCGUUUGUCUAAAUGCCUAAAAUAUCCUUCUAAAUAAGUUUUGAAAAUCACAAGAUGAUUUUAGUUACAAAAGUUUAAAAAUAUCGUGUCCAAUCAUGCUGGAUGUGAUAUUUAUAUUCUUUCGAAGCAAAGGAAUCUUGAUUCUCUUUAACUCAAAUUAUUACGGUUUUAAAAGAGAUCUUAUUUCUAAAUUCUUUCAAACUUUUGACAUUAAGGCAAAAUUAUUCAAUUUGGUACCAAUUUUGGGCGUUGCGAGGGUGCUAAUCCUUCCUUGUACGUAACCGACUCCCAAACCUGUUUUCUCAUAAUUCCGUAGAUCAAAAUAUUUUAUAAGGUGAUCCAACCACACCUAAAAGAUUGGUGGCGACUCCCGUCUUUUCAAAAAUCUCGUUUCCUAAAAAAUAGAGGUUUCGACAGCUUGGCGACUCUACUGGGGAUAUUAUAAGAGAGUCAAGCCAAGAAAUUAUUUUUUUAUGUCUUAAUGUCAAAAGUUUGGAAAAUUUUAAAAUAUUAAUCUUGUUACAUGUGAUCGCUACAUAUGUUUGUAUUUUGAUUUCGCACUCAUUGCAUUUGCAUGACCGCUGUGGUCGCACCCCUAAGUGGGAGUGAGAAGCUAUGCUUUCGUGAGGUUUUCACCUCCGUAUGAGCUAGUGGAUUGCUUCCGGGAUACUAUAUCUAUGUCUUCGUGAGAUUUUCAUCUCCGCAUGGCAUAGGAAAAUGUGUCCCCCUGAACUGAACUUGGUCUAUAUGAGCCUAUAAUGGGUGAGGACCGAGGAAUCUGUUGGUUCAGGUACCCUUGCUUUAGAACUAAAACGCACACUUAUAGUAAACUUUAAGUGCUUACCCUAGGGAGUAUAGUGAUAGCCUUCAGUAAAUUACCCUUAUAGGUACUUGUUUAUUAUACUUUUAUAUAUGAUACUAACUUAUUUUAUUUUGCUAUCAUUGCAUGGCAUUCAGCAUUUAAGGGUGUCGAUUCAUGGUUUGAUUUCUAGAUUAGAAAGUUUUGUAAUGAGGAGCGAAAAUCUUGAUAAAGUGAAGGACAAUGCCUCUGUCUGUACCUGGUAAGAGAAAACCCAGUUAGAGAAAAGAGAUAGUAUUACCGAGGGGUAUACAUCAGGGUUAUGGGACUUCACUCGUAUUAAUUCGACACAGAAUGAGUUUCAGGAGUUGAGAGACAUUUGGGCCCAAUGGGAUGACGAGGUUAAGCAGGUUUUCUAUCAGAAUUAUGGAGGUCUUCCCUAUUUUCUAGACAUCAAGGUAGAUAAGCAUCUGUUCCGAGCUAUGGUACAGUUUUAGAACCCUGCUUAUAGUUGUUUUACAUUUGGAGAGGUGGACUUAGUACCUACUUUGGAGGAGUAUACGACCUUGCUUCGCUGCCAAAAAAUUCAAGGUAACAAAGCUUAUGUUAGGGCUGCUAAUCCCUCAACUUUUGUGAAGAAAUUAAUAACGAUUACAGGGGUGAGUGAACAGUGGGCCGCAGCUCGAAUCCAACAAAAGGGUGAUAGCAAAUGCAUCUCGUGGGCAAGUUUGAGGGAUUUGAUAUUGGCACACCCAGAUGUGAAGAAGAAGGUUGAUGUAUUGGCUUUAAGUAUGUAUGGAUUGAUGAUUUUCCCAAAGGCUAUGGGGUACAUAGAUGAGGCAGUUGCAGAUUUAUUCGAUCAAAUUAGUAAACAGAACACGCAUGUGCCUGCAAUCCUAGCCGAGACGUUUAGAUCCUUGAGUGCGUAUCGGAGAGCUAGUGAAGGUAGAUUCAUUGGAUGUGCACAAUUGUUAUUAGUUUGGUUCCACAAUCACUUUUGGAAGGUUGAUAAGGUUCCUUUUCGGGUGUUCUUUAAAGACUAUUCUCCACUAAAAGAAGCAGCAGCUACACCGAGGAGGGAUGGCAUUACAGAGGAAAGGUGGAUAGAAAUAAUUCAGAACCUCCAAGAAGAAGAUGUUAUGUGGAAAGCCCCUUGGAUGACUCGUAACGAAAUCUUUUAACGUUGCGGGAACUUUGAUUGGGUACCUCUUCUUGGAAUUUGGGAGGUUGUUGGUUAUGUACCAUUACUUGUCUUAAGGCAAUACAAGACAGUGCAGUUUAUACCAGCAACACAAGGGUUAGCUCAGAGUGACUUCUCAUAUAAAGAGGAUCAUUAUAAGAAGAAGAUGCGAGAAAUCUCUGAGGCUUGGAAGAAGGUUUGCUGUGUGAAGAUUCUGACUAAAGGUUUGACGAAAACUCUUGAAUACAAAGGGUGGUUUAGUAAGAGGGUCAAUGAUAACAUCCCUAAACUGAGUUUGGAGGUUGCUCGAUCGAUGGAAGAGAGUUUACAAGUGAUUCCAACAGAAUUAGAAGUCAUAAAGUAAGAGUUUGAAAGAAAAAAUUUGGAGCUCGGGAGAAAGAUAGAAAGGCUUGAGGAGGAGAAAUGUACCUAAGCUUAGACGUCGACGUUCAUAGAAUUGAGGUCAAAAAAGAGAGGAAAGAAAAGAGGAAGAUUGAGGAAGACCGAAAUGACUUGAAGACGCAAUAUAAGAGGAUACAGUUAUCGAUGAAGAGAGCUGAAUUGGCGAAGUCUUCAGAGCAAUGGCAACAAGAGGUUUAAGAAGAAAGAACCAAAGUCGAGUAUUGGGAGAAUAAGUUCUAAGAGAUGCAUGCGCGUAAUCAGGCCCUAGAGAAAGAGAAUCAAGGAUUAAAAACUAAGGUGACUGAGCUUAGACGAUCUCUUCAUCAUCACCGAAGUCGUAACUCUGCGGUCGAGUUAAAGACAAGCUUGGAUAAGAUCGAGAAAAUGAAGCACAAUAUUGGAGGGUUGGAAGCAGCACUACAGGACUUUGAGCUACGGAUUAAGCAGCUCGAGGCAAGAGAAGAACAUUGGAAGGGAGAGCUUCACCAUUUUCAGGAUCAAGUCAGAGAUAGGGACUACCUCAUGGGAGAAGCUAUAGUACAGAUUCGAGAGGUUGCUGAUCAUUCGUAUGACUUAGCGGCGCAAGCUAAUGUAUUAAGUACAAAGUAUGAGUUAGUGUCAGAUAGAGGUCUAGAGUUAGCUUCAUUAUUGAACAGGGUUAAAACUUUGGGCCUGAGGGCAAAGGCGUAUUUGUAAUCCGUUUUGUGUAAAGAUUUUUGUUUCUUAAAUAACGUUUUCUCAAAGAAAUUGGAUCAGAAUCGAUAUCUUUUUACAUUCAUGCAUUUGCAUCUCAUCGAAUCAUAUGCAUUCAAAUUUAUAGAAAGACCUAAUUAGCUAAAAUUAACAGAGGGAGAAAGAGAGUGAGAAAAUCUGAAAGCAACACAUCCUUACGAUACACGUACUAAGACAAAGAAUAUGGAUCACAGACUUGAGCAGAUCUAGAAAGAAAUGCAGGAACAAUUAUAGGAACAAUUGAUGAAAAUCCAACAGGAGAUGAAGGAUCAAAUGUUGGAGGCUCAAAGGAAUAUGAUGGCUGAGAUGGAUCAGUUGUUGAGGGGGACAACAGAUAAAGAAAAAGCCCCUAUGACUACCACUGAAGAGGAUAAUGAGGGUCAUCCUCCUGGUUUUACUCCACCUCAUGUGCAGACUCAACCUGAGGCAUAUCCCCAAGGGCCGUCCGUCACAAUAAGGCCUCAACAGGGACAAGUCGAUGUAGGAAUACCCAUGAACUUUCAAACUGGUUCAGGAUUCAACCCUGGAUAUAACCCUGCCAAUCCAGUUAUCCCUGAUUUAGAUGUAGCUGAGAGGGAAGAGAUGAGACUCGAAUCAUCAAGGCAAUUAAAGGAACGUUGCAGAUGGUUUGAGAAGAAAUUUAAGGCACUAGAAAACGCUGAUAAUCGUCAGGGAGUUGAUGCUAAGGACUUGAGUUUAAUCCCAGAUUUGGUGCUUCCCCAUAAGUUCAAAAUACCGAAAUUCGAGAAGUACAAUGGGACUACUUGCCCGAAGCCCAUAUCACCAUGUUCUGCAGACGGAUGACUGGUUAUGUAAACAAUGAUCAAUUAUUGAUCCAUUGUUUUCAGGAUAGUUUGGCUGGGGUAGCGGCUAGGUGGUAUAAUACUGAGUCGUGCAAGGAUCGGUUCUUGGAGAGACUUAGCGCAAGCUUUUAUGCAGCAAUAUAAUUAUAUGACUGACAUGACUCUUGAUAGAAUCACUUUGCAAAAUAUGGAAAAGAAGCCUAAUGAGAGCUUUAGGCAAUAUGCACAGAGGUGGAGGGAGGUUGACAUGCAAGUUCAACCACUGCUCUUGGAAAAAGAAACUACCAUGUUGUUCAUCAACACUUUAAAGGCUCCAUUCAUUAUUCACAUGAUUGGAAGUACCACCAAGAGUUUUACUGAUAUAGUUAUGGCGGGAGAAAUAAUUGAGAACGCCAUAAGAGGUGGCAAGAUAGAGGGGGAAACUACAAAAAGGUCUGCCUCAAGAAGGAAAGACAAUGAGGUGAACAAUACGAGUAGUUAUAAUUCAAAAGCAGUUACGGUUAGUCAGCCAAGAGUAACUACGGUUGGGCAACAAGAUUCUCAAAAGCAGAGAUCUGGUUUGAGACAAAAUUCUAAAAAGGUCUCAUUUAUGCCUAUCCCAGUAACGUAUCGGGAGCUUUACCAAAGUUUAUUCAAUGCGCAUGCAAUAGCUCCUUUUCACUUGAAACCGUUACAACCUCCAUAUCUCAAAUGGUAUGAUGCAAACGCUAAAUGUGAGUAUCAUACGGGGAUAUCGGGACAUUCAAUUGAAAAUUGCACUGGUUUUAAGAAGGCAGUGGAAAGACUAAUCAAAAUGGGGGUCGUAAAAUUUGACGACACCCCUAGUACAGAGAACCCGUUGCCAAAUCAUGGUGAUCAAGGGGUAAAUGCAAUUGGUGACACUGACAUGAGAAAGAUCAAAGAGGAUGUGACCGAGGUGAGAACACUGAUGAAAAUAAUUUAGGAAGAAAUGGUGAACAGAGAGAUGAUAAUCUCUAAAGAAAGGAAUAGAGGAGUAAGGGACUACUGCGAGUUUCAUGCUGAAAAGGGGCACGAGAUCCAGGAAUGUAACGAGUUUAAGGCCUUAGUACAAAGCCUUAUGGAUAAUAAGGAGUUGGAAUUUUAUGAAGCUGGCUCAGAUGAGAGACGAAUAUGCACAUUAGAAGGUGGACCGAAGAAUCAAAACCGGUCAAGAAUCAUUAUUUCUUUACCAAGAAAUAAUGAAGUUGAAAUACCAACGGUACCGAAAGUCAUGAUUCAUAAACCUGUUUCCUUUCCUUACAAGGAUAACAAGAGAGUACAUUGGAAUUAUAACUGUAAUGUAACAAUGUCGGAGAAGGAGGAUAUAGCUAGUGCCACUAAAAAAGUUCGAGAUGAGGGUUCUUAUACACGUAGUGGGAAGCGUUAUGAUGCAGAAGGUGUCAGAGUUGAGCCCGCAAAAGCAAAAGCUUUUGACAAAAGAAAGGGAACUGAAAUACUGGUUAACGAGCCAGUGAAAGAAGAAAAAGCCAGAGAAUUUCUAAAAUUCUUGAAACACAGUGAGUACAGCGUAGUUAAGCAAUUACGCAAACAACCAGCUCGUAUAUCAGUACUGGCUUUGCUUCUGAGUUCAGAGGUACAUCGUGAGGCGUUAAUGAAGGUGCUCAACGAGACUUAUGUUACUAAUGAUAUAUCCGUCAAAAAGUUGGACCGAUUGGUUAGUAACAUAAGUGCUGAUAAUUUCAUUUAUUUCAACAAUGAUGAAAUUCCACCGGGAGGCAUGGGAUCAGCUAAGGCUUUGCACAUUACCACUCGUUGCAAAGGAUAUACAUUGCCGAGUGUGCUUAUUGAUAAUGGGUCAGCCUUAAAUAUCAUGCCGCUCUCCACAUUGAACAGAUUACCCAUUGACAGUUCUCACAUAAAAACAUGCCAUAAUAUAGUGAGAGCAUUUGAUGGCACGAAAAGAAAGGUCAUGGGAAGAAUUGAUAUUCCUUUGAUGAUUUGGCUAAACACGUAUGAGGUGGAAUUUUUAGUAAUGGACAUCAAGCCCUCUUAUAAUUACCUAUUUGGGAGACCUUGGAUACAUUCGGCAGGAGCGGUGCCCUCAUCUUUGUACUAAAAAUUGAAGUUAGUAGCCGAUGAACGACUGGUCACCAUAAAUGUGGAGGAGGACAUUAUAGCGACAGCUACUAGUGAUGCACCUUAUGUAGAAGCAAAUGAGGAGGCCAUUGAAUACUCUUUCCGUUCAUUAGAAUUCGUCAAUGCAAUAUUCAUCUCAGAGGGGAAUGAGGUGCCGGUGCCCAGGAUAUCCAGAACCACAAGAAUGAGUUUGCAGAUGAUAGUGGGGAAAAAACCCUUGCCAGGAAAAGGAUUUGGAAGAUAUCUCCAAAGAGGGAUUCAAGGUCCUGAACUAAAGGAGAAGAGAGACCGUUUUGGCUUGGGUUUCAGGCUAGAUUACAAGCAGAGGAGGAAAGAAAUAGAGAAGCGCCAAGAGAGAAGAAGGGCACGUUUAGAUGGAAGAGAGGUAGAGUGGGAACUGAUAACAGUCCCCCAUAUAACUCAAACCUUUAUAUCAGGAGGGAUGAUUCACCCUGAGAGAGGAUUGCUCGAGAAAAGAGGUUAUCACAUUAAUGCUGUGUAUGAUGAAGAGUCUGAACAAGGAAACCUUGAGGGCAUUCGCCCUUAUGAACCGAGAAGCUCUUUAAACAAUUGGGUUGCAGAAGAACUUCUUGUAGUUUUUAAAGAUUCUUCGGAGUAAUUUUCAGAACACUCUUAUUGCUCUAAAGCCUAGGAAUAGUAAGAUUUCUUUUAUAAAAUAGGUUCAUGUUCGGAUAUUUAUAUUUCAAUAAAAUGCAACCUUUGUUAUCGAUUCAAGUGAGUAUUCUUUUAUACCGUUUAAUAUUCUUUUGACAUUUAAAUUCUUUCAAAUAUUUUCCAUUUCAUUCAUAACAUAUAAAUAAAUUCAUUCAUUCUUUUUACAUUCUUUCGUACCCCGCAGGCCCCUAGAUAUCAAUGACAUGAACACUGAUACUACGAAUCCUAGAUUCUCUUUUGAGCAAGACAUGUGUUUAGAAGAACUUCAGGAUUUUGAAGAUGACAGAGAUUGUGAUAUGUCUCCAGAUCUGUUGAGAAUGGUGAAACAAGAGGAUAAACAAAUCCUACCCCGUGAGAAAGAGGCAAUAGAGAAUGUAGCCUUGGAGGAAGGGAAAGAGGUGAAAAUUGGCAUACAUAUUGCUAAGGAAACGAGACAAAGCCUUGUUGAGCUACUACGGAAAUUCAAAGAUAUCUUUGCAUGGUCAUAUGAGGAUAUGCCGAGUUUGAAUACUGAUAUUGUGGUACAUCGUCUCCCCAUAAGAUAAGAUUGCAAGCCAGUCUAACAAAAAUUGCGGAGGAUGAGGCCUGAUAUUGUGUUGAAAAUAAAAGAUGAAGUCAAAAAGCAGUUUGAUGCUGGAUUCCUACAAGAGGUUAAGUAUUCAGAAUGGGUGGCCAACAUUGUGUCUGUCCCUAAGAAGGAUGGGAAGGUAAGAAUGUGUGUUGAUUACAGAGAUCUGAAUAAAGCUAGCCCAAAGACAACUUUCCUUUACCGCACAUUGAUACUUUGGUGGACAAUACAGUGGGAUAUUCGUUGUUCUCCUUUAUGGAUGGUUUCUCGAGGUACAAUCAGAUAAAGAUGCAUCCUGAAGACAUGGAUAAAACCACCUUCAUAACAUUGUGGGGCACCUUCUGUUACAAGGUAAUGCCCUUUGGGUUGAAGAAUGCAAGGGCAACAUACCAAAGGGCUAUGGUGACCUUAUUCCAUGAUAUAAUACACAAAGAAAUUGAGGUGUAUGUUGAUGACAUGAUUGUUAAAUCUCGAACAGAGAAGGAACAUAUUGAAGUUUUGAGGAAGUUGUUCCUGAGAUUAAGGAAAUUUCAGUUGAAGCUUAAUCCGGCAAAGUGCAUCUUCGGAGCUAGGUCGGGGAAGUUAUUAGGCUUUGUGGUCAGCGAAAAGGGAAUAGAAGUUGACUCUGACAAGGUUAGAGCUAUACGAGAAUUGCCUCCACCACAUACUCAAAAGGAAGUUCGGGGUUUUCUUGGAAGAUUGAAUUAUAUUGGUCACUUUAUUUCACAAUUAACCGAGAAAUGUGAUCAUAUAUUUCUCCUCCUUAGAAAACACAACCAAGGUACUUGGGAUGAAGAAUGCCAGAAUGCUUUCGAUAAGGUUAAGCAAUACUUGUUAAACGCUCCAGUGUUAUCUCCGCCUAGUCCAGAUAGACCAUUAAUUCUGUACUUAUCAGUGUUUAGUAAUUCUAUGGGAUGUAUGCUUGGCCAACACGACAAGUCAGGAAGAAAAGAGAAAGCAAUAUACUACCUCAGCAAGAAAUUCACAGAGUGUGAGAUGAGAUAUUCGCCAAUUGAGAAAUUGUGUUGUGCUUUAAACUGGAUGACUCGAAGGUUGAGACAAUAUAUGUUAUAUCAUACGACUUGGCUAAUUUCAAAACUUGAUCCAUUAAAAUACAUGAUGGAGUCAACAGCACUAAAUGGAAGAAUGGCAAGGUGGCAAAUAUUGCUUUCAGAUUUGACAUAGUCUACGUGAGUCAAAAGGCUAUAAAAGGAAGCGCGAUAGCAGAAUUUCUGGCUAGCAAGGCUCUAGAAGAUUAUGAGCCAUUGAGCUUUGAUUUCCCUAACGAGGAGUUGAUGCAUGUGGCAGUCAUUGAAGAAUAUCCCUAGAAACUGAACUUUGACGGCGCAUCUAAUGCAGUAGGAAAUGGAAUUUAGGCAGUCUUGGUAUCCCCAACUGGUGAUCAUUAUUCGUUUACAUGUAAAUUGGAUUUUGACUGUACGAACAACAUGACCGAAUAUGAAGCAUGCAUUAUGGGGAUUCAAGCAGCCAAAGAGCGGAAAAUCAGAACCUUGGAAGUAUAUGGAGACUCUGCAUUGGUAAUAUACCAACUUAGGGGUGAAUGGGAGAUAAGGGACCCUAAAUUGAUUAAUUAUCAAAAGGUAGUCUUGGAGUUACUUGAGGAGUUUGAUAAAAUCACCUUCAAUUAUCUCCCACGGGAUGAAAAUCAGAUGGCGGACGCUUUGGCAACAUUAGCUUCCAUAAUUAAAGCAAAUAAACAAGAGGAUGUGAGACCAAUUCAGAUGAGCAUUUUUGAUGUUCUGGCUCAUUGCUGUAACAUCAAAGAAAAGGAAAAGGAUGACCAUCCUUGGUAUCAAGAUAUACUACGGUAUGUGAGAAAUCGUGAAUAUCCUGAACAGGCAACUGAGAAUGAUAAAAGAACUUUGAGAAGGUUAGCUUGUGAAUAUGUACUAGAUAAAGAUAUCCUUUAUAAAAGAAGGAAAGAUCAGGUACUUUUGAGAUGCGUUGACGCUAUAGAAGCUAAACAAAUCCUGGAAGAAGUACAUGAAGGAGUUUGUGGUACACAUGCUAAUGGAUUUACGAUGGCCAGACAAAUCAUGAGGUUUGGAUACUAUUGGUUUACUAUGGAAGGAGAUUGUAUCAGUUAUGCUAAGAAAUGUCAUAAAUGCCAGAUAUAUGGAGACAAGAUCCAUGUACCACCUUCACCCUUACAUGUUAUGACUUCUCCAUGGCUCUUUUCCAUGUCGGGUAUGGAUGUCAUUGGGCCAAUAUCGCCAAAAGCUUCGAAGGGGCAUCCUUUCAUUUUUGUGGUCAUUGACUACUUCACGAAAUGGGUAGAGGCGGCUUCUUAUGCUAGUGUCACCAAGUCAGCAGUAGGGCGAUUCUUGAAAAAUGAGAUUAUUUUUCGGUAUGGAAUGCCUGAGAGGAUCAUAUCAGACAAUGCAUUGAACUUGAAUAACAGCACGAUUGCGGAAGUUUGCAGUCAAUUCAAGAUUAAACAUCAUAAUUCAUCCCCAUAUCGCCCAAAGAUGAAUGGGGCAGUGGAAGCUGCUAACAAAAACAUCAAGAGGAUAGUUGGGAAAAUGAAUGAAACGUACAGAGAUUAGCAUGAGAAAUUACCAUUUGCACUCUUAGCCUACCAAACGUCCAUCAGAACCUCCACUGGGGCAACUCCUUUCUUGUAGGUUUAUGGGAUGGAGGCAGUGUUACCCAUUAAAUUUGAAAUACCUUCUCUUCGAAUUUUGUCAGAGAUAAAGCUAGAUAAAGCAAAAUGGACUCAAUCGUGGUAUGACCAAUUGAACUUAAUCGAAGAAAAGAGGUUAAAAGUUAUUCGCAACAAUCAGAUGUAUCAGAAAUGAAUUAUGCGAGCCUAUGACAAGAAGGUUUGUCCAAGAGAAUUCCACAAAGGUGACCUUGUAUUAAAAAAGAUCCUUCCCAUACAGAAGGACUUCAGAGAAAAAUGGAUGCCGAAUUGGGAAGGGUCGUAUGUUGUGAAGAAUGCUUUCUUUGGUGGUGCUUUGAUUUUGACAGAAAUGGAUAGGAAAAGUUUACCCAAUCUAGUGAAUUCAGACACAGUCAAAAAGUACUAUGUCUAAAGAGAAUGGAAGACAAGGUGAAAACCCACAAAGGGCUUUUUGAGACUUCUAAAAACAAUAAAUAAAAAAUAUAAAAUGGAGAGGCCAAGGUGAAAACCCACAAAGGGCACCUUGAGACCAAAGGGGUUUUGAGUUGAAAAACCCAAAAGGGCUGCUCAAAUAUUCGAGAAACAUGCGGUGACUUUGCUAUACCGGAUUUAACGAGAAAUGGAGUGUGUUACAUACCGGGGCAUCAACAAAGUACUUUGGAUCUUCUAAACACAUGUUAAAACUCAAAAUAGUCUUCACGGAAUUUGUACACAGAAGCUCAAGCUGUGAUAUGUUGGACAUCGAAUUUUUGUUCUGUUUAUUAUCUUUGGAUUCUUUUUCUUCUCAAAGAUAUGUUUUCAGAUUAAUUUCCUAUUGUAUUCUGAUGAUUUAUCUAACUAUUCUCAAGAUUAAAUUUUUUGUCUUCCAUUACUCAUAAGGAGUGUUGCGUUGAAAUAAUAAUUGAUGAAUUAAAUAUUUUUACAAACGAAGUUUUGCAUAUUAUUCUAGAAACCUCUAGAGAAUACAAGAAACUAAAACAGAACAAUUGUUUGAAGAAUUCCCAUAAGUAAAGGUCAGAGGUACUCGAGGAAAUUUCUUUUCAGUCCAAAGGAUGAUUGGACAAUUCAAACGAUUCAACCGUAGGAGAGGAUAGCCUUUAGCAAGUCGUAAUGUUAGGAGAAUGGUAUAAUAAGGACCAAUUUGAUUCAAAACACAUGAGCAGAGUACGGUUGAUACUUGGAGUAAAAUAAAAGUGGAACUUUGAUGGAUGAACGAGUAAAGACGUCCGAAAUAGAGAUCAUUCCCAUAACAUUUUGUAUAAUUAGGAGCAUUUGAUUCAUUUUGAGCAUGACAUCUUAAUCAUCAGGCAUGAGUACAUAUGCAUUCUAUAGGUUAUGUCCUUUAAAGGACAAUGUAGAUCACUGAUAGCAGAUUUGGCGUCUCUGUAUUGUCAGAGAGCAGAUCUAAGAUAGCAGAUUUGGCAUCUCUGUAUUGUCAGAGAGCAGAUCGAAGAUAGCAGAUUUGGCGUCUCUGUAUUGUCAGAGAGUAGAUCGAAGACAGCAGAUUUGGUGUCUCUGUGUUGUCAGAGAGCAGAUCGAAGAUAGCAGAUUUGGCGUCUCUGUAUUGUCAGAGAGCAGAUCGAAGAUAGCAGAUUUGGCGUCUCUUUAUUGUUAGAGAGCAGAUCGAAGACAGCAGAUUUGGCGUCUUUGUGUUGUCAGAGAGCAGAUCGAAGAUAGCAGAUUUGGCGUAUCUGUAUUUUCAUAGAGCAAAUCGAAGAUAGUAGAUUUGGCGUCUCUGUAUUGUCAGAGAGCAGAUCGAACAUUUCGGCUUGGCGUCUCUAUACUAAUAGGAAGCCGGUGGAAGAUAGCAGAUUUGACAUUCCUGAGUUGCGGUGAAGCAAGUAUGAAGCUAUCAGAAUACCUUUAAGGAAGAUGAGGAUCAAGAUUUCGAGACAUUGGCCAGGCCGAGCAAAUUUGGUCCUUUUAUAAUCUUUGCUCUAUUCCUGUUACACAGUAAUAAGCAAAGAGGGGCAGCUGUAACAGCCCAAAUUUGCCCGGGCCCGUGUAAUGAAAUAAACAAAAUAAAUAAAUGUCCAUGUUGUAAAUGUCCAGUAUACAAAUGGGCCUAAAGGCCUGAUGACUCAAGAACCAUGUAGCUUAAGAACCCUAUGCCCGGUUACACCCAACCCACAAAUGGGCACGGCCCAAGGAGGCCCAAAUUACAAAUAGAGGAUGGAAGGCCUAUGGUUUCUGAAACCCUAGGCGCCGCAAAUGCUAGAGGAAGGUUCCAGAAUUCGCACCGCAGGCACGCCAAUCGUCACACCCUUUUUGCGCCGUUCCAGUGACCUUCAUCGACACCUCCAUCAGUGACGUGAUUCCAGGCUCCGUAUCAUGCCGUGAUCAGCGCACGAAUCAACGCCAGCCCACUCCUCGCCGUGAGAUCCUCGAUGGUAUCUGCAAAAAAAGGAAAGAGGAGCAGCAAAGACAAAUGCAAAUAUGGCAAGAAUCGAGCAGAGAAUAUACAAACCUGCAAAUAGAGGCUAUAAAAGCCGAAUUAUUUCAUUGUAACUGGGAAACCUUUUUUUGAUAUAUACGAAAAUAUAUACGAAAGAGAAUAGAUAUACGGAUAUUCAGAGAAAUUCAAGCAAUUUCUUUAAAAGAUGACUUAAGUUUCAUAUUCUGUUAUCUAUGGUUCAACAUGUAUAUGAAUUGUUUUGGAAAAAAAUUGGUAUUUUAAAAUGGGAAAAGGGGUUACCUGCAAUUCGCCAAGGAAAGUGAAGGUUUUGAACCUUCCAAACCGUCAUGUACGGUGGCGCGUGUAGUGCGUGGAUGCAUGAACCCAGUGACCGAAGUCUGGUCCGACAGAGGUCGGAGAAACCUGGAAAGGCUCUCCUAUUCUCCUUCUUAGAGAAUUUUCUUUGUUUUUUUUUAAAACAUGAAACCAAAUGAAUUUUCAAAUGUUUUUUUUUUGUAUUUAUUGAUAGCCCAUACGACGUCGUUUUAGAAUGGCCGUUUAAUAACCAAAACGGCGUUGACCUGAGACCCGGGUAGGAUCCGCGCAUUUUUUUAAAGGGCUAAUUGCCCAAUUGAUCCUUCUACAUUUUUAUGUUUUCUCAAAUUCAUUUUAUUUUUAUUUUAAUCUGGCCUUAAACUUUUACAUUUAUUGUAAUUUGGUCCUAAUAGCCAUUGUAAGACAUAUGCCGAGAACGAUGUCGUUUUUUGGGGAUUAGGGAUAAUUUCCCAGUGAGUCACUCAUUUUUAAUGCGCAUGUCAAUUAAUACCGAAUUUUUUUAUUUAUUUGUAAUUAGCCCUAGUGUUUUUAAAAAAAAAUUUGAUCUUAGUUUUUUUAUAUAUAUUUAAUUUAUUUUCAAAUACUAUAUGUAUUAUUUUUUAUAUAAACAUUAGUUAUAUAUAAAUAGUGUAUAUUAUUUUUAUAUUAUAACCGUUUUUUUAUAUUAUAUAUACAUUUUACUUCAUAUAUUAUUUAUCUUACUAUAUUUAUAUAUGGAAAUUAUUAUAUUAUAUCAUUUUUAUUACUUAUUAUUUUAUUUUAUAUCAUUUUAUUAUUAACAAUUUAUUAUGUAUAAUUAAUUUUUUUUAAAAUUAUUACUAAAAAUUAUAUUUAUAUGUCUUUAUUUAGAGGUCAGUUUAUAAUAUUUAAAAAAAAAGUAUAAAAUUUUGUUCCUAUUCAAUAUGAUGAUUUGACCUUGAAUUAUUAUAUUAUGUAAUGUAUUACAUAUAUUAAUUAUUUCUAAAAACUCUCCUUUAUCAUUUAUACAUUGCUCUAAUAUAAUUUUUUUUUUUGUUUUUUUUUAUGUUCAUGAUUUGUUUAUUCACUUUAUAUUUUGUAUUUAUUGUUUUAACAUGCUAAUGCUAUCUCACUAGCUAUUUGUUGUUUACAUGAUUUGUUGUUUAUCACAUUUGCAUGAAAAUUAAUUAUUUAUGUUGAUUUAAGCUACAAUUGCAUGAAAUAUUGUUGUAUAUAUAUUGCAAUUUUUAUUAUUGUAUUCAUUAUGCGCUAUGUUGUAUUUUGCAUGCAACGAUAAUGCAUGUAUAUUUAUGUUAUCUAUGAUCACAUAUGCAUAAAAUGAUAACGUAUAUUGUGUAAUUUAUGCCAUUAUUCAUUUUUUUUCAUAUAUUAUAUUUGCAUAGAAUGUUAAAGUAGGUAUCAUGUAAGAUAAUUUAUUUAAUAUUGAUCCUUUGCAAUAUGUUAAAUGCAUCAUCACUUUAAAGAACUUUUGUAUUUCAUUCGAUCCAAAAGGAAUUUUAAAAAAUAAGGCAAUGUUUUUUUGGUAGUUAGGAAUUCGGGAAGUAGUGCCCUAACAUGCUGGGUUGCAAUUUCCUGUUUGUCUAAAUGCCUAAAAUAUCCUUCUAAAUAAGUUUUGAAAAUUACAAGAUGAUUUUAGUUACGAAAGUUUAAAAAUAUCGUGUCCAAUCAUGCUGGAUGUGAUAUUUAUAUUCUUUCGAAGCAAAGGAAUCUUGAUUCCCUUUAACUCAAAUUAUUAUGGUUUUAAAAGAGAUCUUAUUUCUAAAUUCUUUCAAACUUUUGGCAUUAAGGCAAAAUUAUUCAAUUUGGUACCAAUUUUGGGCGUUGCGAGGGUGCUAAUCCUUCGUUGUACAUAACCGACUCCCGAACCUAUUUUCUCAUAAUUCCGUAGAUCAAAAUAUUUUAUAAGGUGAUCCAACCACAUCUAAAAGGUUGGUGGCAACUCUUGUCUUUUCAAAAAUCUCGUUUCCCAAAAAAAGAGGUUUCGAUAGUCUUAAUUCUACAUAAAUUAGGAAAACAUAUUUCAAUUAGGGUAAAAUAUGUUCUAUAAAUAUCCAAAUUUGUUUAAACCCUAGAAUUUUAUCUAGCAAAAUUUUUUAAGAAAAACACUCUCAAGCUCUUUUCUCUUUAAAUCAGCCUUCAAAGCAAAAAGGAGUCAAAGUUUUCAAAAUCAUUCCUUUCGAGUAGAUCAUCAAACUUUUCUCUGAAACUAAGGUUUUUAAGUCUUCAAAACAGAUGUGGGAUCUGAACUUAAAACAUUAUAUAUAAUUAAUUGUAAUGAUUAGGAAGAAUGAAAGUUGUUGUGAGAACCUCCAAAAUAUGCGAUCCCCUAUGUAGUGCAAGCCUCUUACAUAUGCAAGCCUAGAUAAUAUGUAUAAACACACGAGCCUAGGAAAUAUAUAUGUACAUGCGAACUUAGGUAAUUGUUUAUGCAAACUAUAAUUAUUUAAUAUGUGAACCAUCCAUGUUUAGUUAGGCGAACCCCCUUAAAGGUAUGUGAACCCCUAGUAAUACUAGGCAAACCUAUAAGAGGAUUGUAUGUGCGAACCCUAGGCGAGUGUAUCCUUAUAAGCGAACAUGUAUGUGCGAACCUUAGGUGAGUGAACCCCUAUGGGCGAACCCUAAGUGAGCGAACCCCUAUGUGUGAACCAUAGGUGUGCGAACUCUUAGGUGCAAACUUACAUGUGCAAACCCCAGGUUACGACAUGCAAACUUAUUACAUGCGAACCCUAGGAUUAUGCUAUGUGAACCUUAUGGAUUGUAGUAUGUGAACACUGUAUGUGUUAGAAGCAAACCACGAUAUGUGAACUCUGUAGGUGUCAUAUCCAGACCAUGUUAAGUAAACCCUAUGAAUUAUAGUAUUAUGAGAACCAUACAUGCAUUAAAUAUGCGAACGCUAGAUGCUAUACAUGUGAAUCCUGAAAAAAUAUGAUGCGAACCUGAGAAAAAUUUUAUGCAAACCAUAUAUGUUUGAACCUUACAUAUGAACUGGUUAUGUAUAUGUUAGCCACACUAAGUUUGUUAAAUUGCAUGAAGAAGUUGUACACGAAAUACUAUUUUGAUAUGCACAAAUUAUGUGUAUGUGUAAUUGAUGUGAAUAAAUAAAUGAAAACAUGCAAUGAAAUACUAGUAUAUGGUAAUAAAUGUGCUUGUUAAGCAUGGAAUCAAAUGUUGAUAAUGAGUACGAUAUGAUGAGUAUAUGUGCAUAAUACAUUAACUCAGGACCGGAGGACGGAGGAGUUUCAUAGGAGACAAUGGCAAUUUAAGUCUACAUCGAAAGUCAAUACUGCACGAAGUACGCAGGAAUUUCAUCCAUAAUGGAUAAGCCGGGAUGGUAGGUUAAUAAACCACCAAAUCGGGUCUACCGAGAUGAUAGUUAUUACACUAAAAAGUCCUCUAAAUUGGACAAGAUGAUAUGGUAGGUUAAAAACACCAUCAAAACUGGACCAAACCGGGGUGGUAAGUUAUUGUAGUAAAAGUCAUCGUCAUAGAUGACAAGUGAAUGACCAUCGUCAUUGGGAAUUAAACUUGAGAUGGUCAGUAUUGUAGUGGGUUUUUGUGUGUCGAGCAAUGCUUGAGGGCUGGUAUGAUGGACAAGUGGGUAAUUAAAACAUUAAUUUGCAUUUGCAUUUACAUUUACAUUUGCGUUUGCAUUUCAUCAUAUAAAUAAAUUUCAUAUAUGCAUUGAGUUAUUAUUUGUUCCAUAUAUUAUUCUUAAAGUUUUAUUAUGCUAUAAAUUAAUUGCCGUACUAUUUGAUGAUUAUAUAUAAUGGUUUAAGAUUAGUCUCACACUGCGAUAUUGUAAGUUCAUUCCCCCUUUUCUUUACCUUUCAGGUAGCGCAACAAUAAAGGAUUCGGAAUGGCAUAGGAAGAACCUCAGAUUUACAGCUUGUUUUACUUAAAAGUUUCCACUAAAUAUUUCUUUAAUCGUUUUGGGGUUGUAAUUAUAAAUUAUUUCUUGCUAGGAAUUUUUUAGCUUAUUUGUUUUAAGCAUGAUAUUUAGUUAAACCCUGAUAUUUGCAUGCUGUAACACCCCAAACCCGACCUAGAUGUUAUGGCUGAAUUUGGUGAUGUCACAUGGAAAGAUUUUGAAAACAGGUUGAUUUAAUUAACUGAUCAUUUAUAAAACCCAAAUUCCUUCGUGUUUCAUACAAAAGACAUUAUUUUAACAAUUUAUUUGCCAAUUACUUAUACAGCGGAAGCUUUAAUCAUUUAUGUUUGAAAAUGCAGUCGUGUUUUUAGGAAAAUCAUUGUUUGCAUAAAACCGUUGUUUUUAAUAAAAUGUUUUACCAAAGUAAUUAAAUCAGAAAUAACCAGUUAAUAAUCAAACAGCCCAGAGAGUCCCCAAAAAUUACCACUCUCAAAACAAUUACCAAAUCAUAGAUAAACCAUAAAUACAAUUACCAAAUCAUAGAUAAACCAUAAAUAAAUUAUCUUAAACAGUUUUACGAAUAUGUGGUCACUGCUGAGUCCCUGCAGCACCGGUCUGCCUAAGACUAUGGAUUACCUGACAGAAUAAACAAACAGACGUGAGUUUACGUAAACUCAGUUUGUAACCCAGCAGAAUUAAGCAUGCAAACAUACAGAAUUAUAAUCGCAGACAGAAACUGAUACAGAUCCGGAUUCAGAUAUCAGAUUCAGAUAUACAAAAUCCUACCCUCAUCCUUUACACACCAUCUCUGACCAUCCCAUCACACCAUAUGGGGUUAAAAACACCUAUCCAUCCCUACACACCAGGUUGUGCCAUAAAGACAUAUAUAUCAAAAAAUAUGCAAUCAAGCUACAAGAAUAUGGGCGAUUAACACCGUACAAAAUAUUUCCUCCACAUAUAUCAAUCCCACCCUAGCAGUUACAGAGCAUACAUACAGAAUUAACAGAUAAAUCAUGCUUAACAUGCUUAUAUAAACAGAUAACAUAUAUUCAUAACAUAGACAUGCUCAGAACUGUAUUUUAGUCUAACAGAUCACAUAGUUUUAGGGUUUAGUUAGCCUUUACUGACCCUAUGGUAGGCCCACAGUCGAUUAGGACUACCCAUGCGACCCUACAGAAUAUUUCAGUAUAAUGGGCCCACACACCCAGAUUGGCCAUGCCCGUAUGGCCCACACGGCCUGGCCCUAAUUCCACAUGCCCGUCUGGCCCACACGCCCAACACUCGAGCCAUCACAUGGUCAUGCCUUCGUCAACCACACGGCCAUGUACUCGUACACGGUCUACCACAAAGGUGACCACACGCCCAUGUGGCGUCUACAGAUUCAUUUUUCGGCUUUUAUUGAAUCUCAUUUUUCUGUGUUUUGAGUACACACCUUUUACAGUUGUGAUGCAAAAGUAAUCCCGAGCCCUCCGAAACCUAAAAAUAGAAUACCCAGAACAAAAUUAGCAAUCGAUUAACAAAAUCCUCUAAUCUAAAUCGAAUAAGGCAGACUUACUUACCGACUACACCUCCGUUUACUUGCACAAGUUCAAUCUUUGCAAAAAAACUGUUGUUUCCACCGCUUCUCCUACAUAAAAAGUACAGCAAUGAUUUAACCCUCAGAAAUCAAAUGACGAAAGAAUGCAAACGCAAACCCACUUUCCCAAUACACUAAAACAAAAUGUUCAGAUCGCACGAGAACAAGGAUUAGGGGCAAAGUCAAGGAAAUUAAUUAAAAAUUAACCCUUUGACAAAGAGUAAAGGAGACAAAACAAGAUUGGGGAUUUUUCUUUGUUUUGGAAGAUGAGUAAUGUCAAGAAGAAACCAGAAUUUUGGGGAAAAAUAAAAAUAAAAUCAAAUAUAACAGCCUAUCCCCAGAUUCUCUCCAUCAAAACUACCCACUAUUCAGAAUUCUAAUUCAACCGAAACUCAACCACUAAAUUGAGCAAAAUAAUACCCACGCUCGCACAGGGAUUCAAACAUAGGACCUCCAACACACCAACACCCUUACCACUCAAACCAAUAGGCUCAUUCUGAUUUGGUUUUAUAGAUAAUUAAAUAUAAGCCCACUGAACAAAAGUAAGGCUUGGAUCAAAAAGUAACAAAAUUGAGACCUGAAACCAAGACCUCUCAGAUACUCCCAAAACACUUAACCACUGAAGCAGAUACAUAAUUGUGUCACAUUUUCAUAGAAACAGACAUAAAAUAUUCAAGGCGUUACACAUGCUUUUCGAUUUAGAAAACCUUUACUUUAAAUGUUUUUUUACUACUUUACAAAAUAAUAUUCACAUUAAUAAUAUUGUAAUUGAAUGGUUAAGUGAAGCCAAUUUAAGCGAAUAAAUGUUUUCCUAAAAACAAAAAGGUGAUCUUGAGUGAAAAGAACGACUUUACAAGACCACUUCAGUGAUAAAUGUAACGCCUUCAACUUAGCCGAAACUCCUAGGCCGGGUUGGGGUUUACAUAUUUAAUCAAUAUUUUUCCUAACUAGAUUUUCAUGUUGCCCCAUUUUCAAAUUCUAAUAUAAUAUGCUCCCCAUCUUCUAUUUCUUUUCUUUUUCCUCUUCUUUUCUCUCAUUCUUGCCCCGUAAUUCCAUCUUUUGUGCUGCCAAAUUUUUCCCUUCAUGAAUCACUCACUGUUCAUUGAUUUCUACCUUAAUUUAGAUUAUCGUUAGUAGAAUUUGCCAAGAAUCUGUAAGUACACUUUAUUUCAAUAACUAGAUCCCAUAUAUCCAUUGUGCCAAUCCCUGAUAUUAAUCUUUUCGAUUCGUUUAAUCGAUUUCUUUUGAAUUUCUUCAAAAUCCUUACUGUUGAAUUUAACAUAUGAAUUUAACAUAUGCAAUCGUUUAAUCUAGGUUAAUUGGAUCAAAAUCGAUCGCAAGAAACGUUAAUCGAACCCGUGGUGAAAGGCGUGUGUUCUUUACCAAGUGAAUAGGAGCAAACUAUGUGUAGGUUUAGGGCCACACGACCAUGUGCACCUAUAAAUCAUAAAGUACUUCAUGAACCGCGCAGAUUCAACCUGUUACAUAGUCGUGUCCUUACUAUAGGAUAUUUUAUCAUUUUCCACACAACAUCAACCUACUACAUGGGCUGGCCCCAUAAUUGUGUAACUCUUCCACACAGCCUCAAGACUUUUACAUGGCCGUGUAACCUCUAUUUUACAAUUUUUCCUAGAAAUUUAUGAAUUGUUUAAUUUAGUCCAUAGAUUAUUUUUAGAAAUUUUUUACACUUAAUUGAGUCCCUGAUAUUAUGUAUAUUUUGGAAUCUGCGAACUGAUUGACUGAAUUAUUACUAUAAUAUGCAUGAUAUGUGAACGAUACAUGCCUACUGUCGUUGUAUUUUUGAUAAACUACUACUGUCACUACUGCUUCUGUCUUACUGAUUGCAUGUUAAGCCUGUCUGCUACUACUGUUGAACCGAAUACAUGUCAAAGCAUAUCUUUUGUCUCUGUAAUGUUCUUUUUCAAGCAUGACAUAUUACAUUGCAUGAGGUGGGACAAUAUAAAUAAAGGAAGUUCUAGCAGUUUAAUAAUCUAGAAACACUGGUGGUUCAUCUACAACUUACUGGUAGCUUACUUGCAAACUUUUUAUCUGAAAAUAAUGGUGGUUUACCCAUAACUUUUACUGGUAGUUUAUCUGCAAAUUACUGGUGGUUUAUCCACAACUCGAAGUGUAUGGAUGGAUGCGUUAUGGGGAACUCUUACUGUAGAGUGUAAAGGUGUUGGGUAGGAUCUUUUUUGAUAAACUAAAAUUGCAUUGUCAAUCAUAAGCAUGCAUAAGCAAACUGAAAACUCUAAAAUGCUAUAUUGAUGUUGAUCUGAAAAACUGAUAUUAUGUAUUGCAAUAAUAUCGUUUUUGUUCAGAGAACUGUCAUUUGGUAUGCUUUGUCUAUUGUUUUGUACUGAUUUUCUUAUGAUUGGACUCACAAUGAACUCUUUAAGCUCACCCCCUUUAAUUUUCAUCUUUACAGAUAACCCACAAGGUUAGAACGCGGACUCGACAUUCAGAGGGCUUGUCUCGAAAAUUUUCAUUAAAAGUAUUUAGACUUUAUUUUUAUAAUUUUUGAUAUUUUGGACUGUAAUGUUUUAUAUAAACCGUGGCAUGGGAUUUUAAUUUGGGUUAUUUGGCAUGCAUAACGUUUAAAUUGAUUUUAGGCCAUUGAAGCUCGGAUUUUGAUUUAAAUAUGCGUGAAAUUCUGGCUUUACAUAAAAAUUAAGUUUACUAUUAUUUAGUUUUUAUUCAACAUGAAAAUGACCCUAACCAUAUGAUGAUUAUUCCCAUUAUCCAUUGAUUGAUGUGAUAUCAUGUGUUCAAUAUGAUUUUAGGAGCUUAAAUGGCUUUUUUUAAUAUUUUUUAUAUUUUUAUAAUAUUUUUUAUAAUUCAUUAAAAUUCAUUAUAUUAUUUAUAAGAAUUUUUUUUAAAAUUAAAAUAUAUUUUAUUAAUUUUCUACUUUUAAUAAUUAAUUAAAAUUUUAUAAAUUUUAUAAUAUUUAUAAGUUUUUUAUUAUUUUUAUAAUUUUUAUAAUUUUUAUAAUUUUAUAUCAAUUUCAAUAUUUUUUUAAUUGUCAAUGAUUUUUUUCUUAUUUUUAAUGCUUUUUUUAUAAGUUUUAAAGAAUUUUUAUAUGGUUUUAUAGAAUUUUAAAUAUUUUUAUUCAUUUUAAAAAUAUUUUUUUCUAAUUUAUUAUAUAUUUUAAAUUUUUUAUAAUAUUUAAGUUAUUUUUUUAAUUUUUAUAAGUUUCUAUAAAUUUUAAUAUUUUUAUUAUUUAAUAAUUUUUAUAAUUUCUUCUGAUUUUUUUUUAUAAUUGUAAUGAUAUAUUUUUUUAUAUUUUUUAUGAUUUUUAGUAAUUUUUAUGAGAAGAUAUUAUAUUAAACCAAAAGCUGCCAAUUACUAUUAACGUGAUCAACCAUUGAUUUUGUUAACAAAGGGGCUUAGUUAAUUAUUUUUUAUUAAUAGUAAAAGCUCAAUUAAGUGUGAGUUUAAUACAGGAACUUAAUUGAUUUUACAUAUUUUCUUAAAAAAUUAACAUAUAAGCCUUAUUUAAAAGUAUAUCUAAUAAAAGCACCAUCUAUCCCAUCAAAAUGAGCAAAAGUCAAAAAAAGUCCAAUUCCGAAGCUUGAGUGUCGCAGUAUCCAACUUAAAAAAUAUUUUUAAAACAAAAAAAUGUAGUAUUGAAAAAAUCCCUUAAGAAAAUGUAAAAAAUGUUUUUGUAUUAAAUUCACACCAAUUGAGCUCCAAUUUCAAAGCUUAAGUGUCGAAGUAUUCAACUUAAAAAAUGUUCUUUAAAAAGAAAAAAAAUUUAAUUGUGAAAAAAGCCUUUAAGAAAAUGUAAAAAAAGUCUUUAUAUUAAAUUCACACCCAAUUGAGCUCCAAUUUCAAAGCUUGAGUGUCGCAGUAUCCAACUUACAAAAUGUUAUUUUAAAAGAAAAAAAUGUAAUUUAAAAAAAAAAACCCUUAAGAAAAUGUCAAAAAAGUCUUUAUAUUAAAUUCACACAAAAUUCAACUCCAAUUCCAAACUUAAAUAUAGUAGUAUCCAACUUAAAAAAUAUCUUUUUAAAAGAAUAAUAUUUAAUUGUUAAAAAAUCCUUAUGAAAAUGUAAAAAAAAUAUAUAUUUUGUAUUAAAUUCACACUCAAUUGAGCUCUAAUUUCAAAACUUAAGUGCCACGGUAUCCAACUUAAAAGAUGUUCUUUAAAAGAAAAUAAUGUAAUUGUGAAAAAAGCCCUUAAAAAUAUGUCAAAAAAAUCUUUGUAAUAAAUUCACACCUAUUUGAGCUCCAAUUCCAAAAGUUGAGUGUCAUAAUAUCCAACUUAGAAAAUAUUUUUUUUAAAGAAAAAAAUUUAAUUGUGAAAAAAACCUUUAAGAAAAUGUCAAAAAAAAAUCUUUGUAUUAAAUUUUCACCUAAUUGAGCUAUUGUAGUUAAUUAAAAUAAUCAAUUAAGCCCCUUCGUUAAUGGAAAUCGUGAUUGGCUAUGUUGACUAUAAAAAUAAAUUGAUAGACCAAUCAAAUGAUGACACGUGACAAUUUAUCAUUUAAUAUAAUAUUUUCCCAUAAAAAUAAAUAAAAAUAAAAAUAUAUAAUUAUUAAAAUAUAAAAAAAUAUUUAAAUUGGUAGAAACUUAUAAAUAUUAUAAAAAUCAAAUUAACUCUAAUAAAUUAUAGAAAAUUUUAUAAAAUUAAUAAAACAUUUUUAAAAAUUUAUAAAAUGUAUAAAAAUUAUAAAAAAUUAUAAAAAUUCAUAAAAAUAUUAAAAUUGGUAGAAACUUAUAAAAUUAUAAAAAAAAUCACAAAAACUUGAAUUGGAUCAAAAUAGUAAGUUGAACUGGUUAAUGAUGCCCACGAAACCAACUAAAAAUCUGAUUAAGGCAAGUGCACCUAUCAAUUAAUAAUAUAGCUACGGUGAACAAAGUUAUCAUUCCCAUGAGGACUAAAAGUACUAGUAAUUACCGCCUUUCUAUUAUUUAACCGACAAAUUGGGAUAAUUGAUUAAAACUAAAAUUAACUAAAUUAAUUAACUAAAGAACACAAAAAGAGCAAAUCAGGAAAAUAAACAAUUAACAACCAAGAAGCGAGACAAUACCUAGGAAAGAAUUCACCUAGACCUCAUUUGUCAUUAUCAAUCUAUAUUACGCAAUUUUUUGAUUUAGCAUCUUGAUCCGUAGAAAUUCCUAAAUUAUGCUAAUAUCUCUCUUCAAGACUAAGAGCAAUUGAAUCUAGGUUGAUUAAUUGAAAUUCUUUCUAAUUAAAACUUCUAUUGUCGUAUUAACUCAAUCUUGAAUUCCUCUAUUAGAUUUUACUCUAAUUCAGUAGAUUUAUGUCGACCUAUUUUUAAGAUUGCAUGCAACUCUACUCAAUUACGUUAGAUAUACUCUUAAACAGGGUCUAUUUCUCAUAUGAUUUAAUCAGACAUGGAAAUAUCAAACCAAGAAUUAAGCACAUAUAGUUGAGAACAAAAUCCAAGUAUUUAUGUCGUAAAAAUAUAAAUCAAAUUACAGAAUCCAUCCUAGGGUUCAUCUCCCUAGGUAUUUGGAAAAUUAGUUCAUGAUAGCAAAUAAAAACAUCUCAAAGACAGUAUAACCACAAGAAACAAAGAAACUCAUAAUAAACUUCAAAGAAAUCAAAAGGAGAUCUUCAAUUUUGAUGGAAAUUUGUUUCAGAGUCGGCUUCAAUGGUGUUUUUUGAGUUUUUUUCAAGAUUAUUCUAUGGCGGCUCUCUCCUAUCUUCUCAUUAUUGUCAUAUACAAGUCUCAAAAUGCCCAAAAAAACCUAAAAAUUGCAUUUCUUCGCUGUUUGGAGUGCAAAUUGCAAUUUUGACACGGUCUCACACACGCCCAUGUGAUAGCCCGUGUGGCUCACACGACCGUGUGUCCAGCCUGUGUGGCCCUUAUACCUUGAUCUGAUUUUUGCUUCUUUUGCUUCCAAAUGUUCUCCUAAGUAGAAAAUCAUGAAUUUAAAGGAUUAAGAGCAUAAAAUUCACCAUUUUACAUCGAAUAAUCAUCCAAAAAUGCAUUAAGAAUGAGAUUAAAGCAUGUUACUUUUAGCAAUUAUCAGUUAGAUCGAAAUCGACAAGGGUACCGAUAUGCGAAUGCUUGGAUAAUGAAAAUUUAGUUUGAUAGUAUCUAACUGUACCAAAAAUACUUUAUAUCAUACAAUACUUAACAAAAAAAAAUUCAACUUUUUAAGGUCCAAACUAUUAUACUGUACUUAAAAAAUUGAAGAUAAAAAUUUUAAAAAUAAAAAUAAUAAUUUAUCAAUAUUUGAGUUGAUAACACUACCAUGAAAUUGGUGGAAUAUUCAGAUCUGUCAUCUUGAUCAUUAAUCGAUUUACUCUUCUAAUAUCACAAUACAAACCACUUUUGUCUAUAGUUUCUACCAUAUCGUAACAUUUAACCAAUCUAUAUCGAGAAUAAUAUCAAAAUUUAAAAAAAUGUAUCGAUAAUAACAUCAGGAACAACAAUCUCCUCAUGAACUCGAAUAACAUAAGCCUUGGUAGUAGUCUGAGCUUCAAAUCUGAUAGUCAUAUCUUUAAUCUCCACUUUGCUAUUCCCCACAUUAUCAUUAUAUUUUGAUUGUCUAGUUUUCUAAAGAGUGGUCACAACCUUUAUAUUCUGUUUCUCGUUUCAGUUUGUCCAUUUCAGACAAUCUCGUUCUUAAUUUUCCUAAUAACCAUAUAAAUACAAGCCUCGUUAUUUAGCCAACACUCACCUCGACGAGUUUUCCACCGUGAAUACAAACCGAUCUGUCCAUGUUGCGAACACAGCCAACACUGGCUACUAACAUAAUCGGAUAUCUCAAUUUACUCUAUUUCGACUUAUUUUUUUCCCAAAAAUCCUAAUGAAGAAGUGAAACGAAUAUAAACAUCUUUUGAUUUCUUCGAUGGAGGAGUCGAAAACGAUCUAAUCGUACUCUGUUUACUGGAAUCAUAGAGUCUCAACUAAGUCUAUUUCCUUUCACUGCAUACGCCUUUGAUUUUUGUGAUUGUUCAAAUAAAAUUACACUCUUUCAAUUUCGGAGCUCUUACUAACAUCUGUAUGUCUUCAUUUAAACCCCAUUUAAAACAAGUACACAUUUCAGCUUCUACCGGUACAAUAUCUCUGGUAUAUUUAUUGAGUUUGAUAAAUUCUCGUUCACUCUCUACUAUAGACAUAAUUCUCUAUUUCAGCUCUAGAAAUUCUCUGUGCUUCUUUUCUAGGUACAAUCUACUAAUGCAUUUCUUUUUAAACUCUGAUUGAAAGAAAUUACAAUUUACUCAAUCAUUAGGAACAACUGUUGUCAAAGUUAUUCAUCUCCGAUAAGCUUCAACUUUCAAAGUGACAUAGUGCUUGAAAUUGUCUUCAGAAGAACAUACUAUUUAAUCAAAACUCAUUGAGUAUUUUUCCAGCAAUAUUCAAUUCUAACCGGAUCAUCAUCAGUUUUAUCCCUGAAUUAUUCGAUCCCACGUUUCCGAAUCUUAUCAAUAAGAGGUCUGUGAACACUUACCGAAUUUUGAGGAAAAGAGAGUAUUGUGGAAGGCACAAUCAGAGGUGGAGUUCGCAAAUCCAUAAUAUUAGCUCACAUAACUUUGAGAACCAUUAGUUAAUCUUUAAAAGAAAACACCUCUUAUUUCACUAUCUGGCCUUUACGAAACGACACACUAAAACUAGCUCCCUGAUUGGAAACAAAAACAUUACCAUUUAUCUCAUCAGAUACUGCACGAUUUAAACUCAAUUGACAUAAUAUAUCUAAAAGAAAGCAAAGCAAGAUUGGAUCAUAUUGCAUCACAUUAUCCUAGAUUAAUGUGGCAUAUAUUUCUAGGCUCAACACAUGCUACGUUUAGUCCUAGAAUCGAUUGAAUUGUAGCACUGAUAUCACUAAAUGUAACACCCCUCACCUAGUCCAGUCACUGAACCCGAGCUUUAGAGUGCUACAAUCAGAGCCGAAACAAAACACAUUCAACUCACAUUGAUUAAUUCAAAUAAACAUAGAAUUAUUUUAUAAAUACACAAUUAACAUUCAGAUUAAGCAUAAGUCACACAAUGAUAGUCAACUCAAUGCAUAAUAAUCAAAUAUAACUUUUCUCGGGCCUUAUACGAGGUUACGUAUGCUCUCAUAUUAACCUAGAAUUUAACUAAGACUAAUUUGCAACAUUUUCAAAAUUUCAAAUCAAUUAAAUCAUAAAUAAAUUCUUCAAAUAAUAAAUCAUGUCAUAAAUAUUCAAAUAUUAUUGUAUACUAUUAAAUUUAAGUCUUAUUCGAGCUUACGAAAGCUCUUAAGUUGACUCGAACAUAGAUAAGGAUCAAAUUGAAACAUUUUCAAAAGAUAAAGGUAAUCAUGCAAAACAAAGGUUACACGUCGUGUACCCAGGCUGUGUAACACACUGUGACCGUGUGAUUCAAAAUACCAAUUUCAUCAGAAGAUACACGGUCGUGUAGCUACGCCGUGUAACAAAUAGGAAUCGUGUGGCUCAAAAGACUCCUACAUUAUAAUGGUCACACUACUGUGUCACCAGCCCGUGAUUGACACACGGUCAUGUAGUACAAAAUGUGCCAUUUAACUACCCAAUUCUUAUCAAGACAACCCAAUGGCUCAAAUGGUGCAUAUUUGGCCAUUCAAACCUGCACAAAACCAACUAAUACUUAUACCAAUACAUGCAUUUAGCCAACUACAAGACCAUUCAACCAUACCACAUGAAAUGAUAACAUGGUCAAGCUUAACAACUUAGGUAUUCAUCAACUACUAAAACAAGAAACUUUCAUCAUCUUAACAUUUCAAACUUAACCAAUACAUGUCAUAUAUUAAAUUCCUAAUCACCUAGCCAAUAUGUCUUAUUGGCACUAUUACACAACAAUGUUAUAAGCAUAACAAACCAUUUAACUAAUUUGGUACAAAUCUAUACCAUUCCUCUCACAUUAAUCCAACUCUUUUUCACCUUCAAAUUAACCAUUAGAGAGUUUCAAAUAUAAUAUAUCACAAUGCCAACAAACAUAUUUCAAACAUCAUAAUAAAUAAUCCAAAAUCUAUCACACCCUUAGUUCAAACAUAUGAAUACCUCAGUUACUUAACAUAUACAAUUGAAGCUUUAAAUACUUAUCAUAUAUAUAUAUAUAUCCAAAAUAUGCAUAUUAUAUAGACUAUAUCAUCACCAUUCAAAAUAAACACAUUUCAUAUCAAAACCUAUACACAUGCCACAUAACCGAGUCUAGAACGAAUUAAAAGUCUACCGAGACUAAAGCUAGAUAGCUUGAGCCUUGGAGAUGAUCUGAUAGACACAUUUCGCAAAAUGCCAACAACAGAAAAUAGAAAAUGAAACAGAGUAAGCAUUAAAUAUGCUUAGUAGGUUCAUAGGUUCAAAAUAAUGUAACUUACCUUAAUUCUCAUAUUACAAGCAAAACUAAUCUUUUUUCCUAUUACCACAAUUCAUAGCAAUAGAUGAGAUCAUCGGAAGCAAGUCUCAAAGCAAUUUAAUUUAUACAGUGUCAUUCAAAUCAAUUCAAUGUCAUUUAAUCAAUAUUGUCAAAUAUUUAUAUACUUCAGUUACAUUAUUCAAUCACCAUAUAACAUAUCAAUUCGGAACACAUAUCAUCAUUUCAAUCAUUUACCAUUUUCAAUUUUUACUCUUCAACCCAAAUCAAUAUUAUUCUAUCAAAACCUUUGAGCAGAAACAAUACUUCCAACAUUUCAAUUUCAAAUAACCAAUUCCAAUCACAAUGUACAACAUCAAACAACUAGUUUCUUUUAAUUUUAACCAUUUAGCCUGAUGAACCAUAAUGAAUAGAUAUGGAUAGGUGGGUAGCCACCCAAAACACACCUGAUUGCUCAAACGAGCUAUAUCAUCCAUAUACACACCAAGGCACUAAGUGUCAAGCCCGUAGGCUACACAUCUUUCCUAAAGCACACCUAAAUCUUCAUAAAGAUAAACUCGGUAAUCCGCAACAAAUGUUGGAUUCUGGUACCAUCAGUGAAUUUCCCGUACAUCUAUGUCACAGUUCAUAUAAAUCUCAUACAGCGUGCGAAUAACCCAAUUGGCAUGUCAAAUAUAUCAUUUCCAAUCGUUCAUCCAGGCACGAUUUACACAUCCAUAUCAUUUAUUACAAUUCAUACCCUUCCUCACAUUUUGUACCGUUCCAACCACAAUUCAAAAUAUAAUCAUAUAUUAUCAAUUUAAUCCACUUGAUAUCAAAAUAACAUAUAUUCACUUUUUAACAAUAUAAUAUACCAUGGAUAUAACAUACACUCGUAUAAUAAAUUUUACAUUCAUUCAACACUAUAUAUCUAUCCGCAUUUUUUUCACAAAUCUCACAUUUUCCGAUAUAGUCCUAUUUAUGCCUUAAGUUAUUGAAAUUACAUUUAUAUACAUAUAAUCAAUAAAUACAAUCACACAAUUCAAGCAUAAUAAGAAAAUACUUUUCAUAUGAACUUACCUGGAAAACGACAACUACUAAGUGUCAGGGACUAAUCUUCAAUUUCUCCUAUUUCUCAAUUAACUUCUGAUUGAUAAUUAUCAGUGUCAAUUACCUUAUAACAUCUUAUUUAAUGCAUAUGACUAAACCUGCCCAAAAAGUGAGAGGGUUUGGGUAAAAAUAUAGGCCCGAAAAAUAGGCUUGGGUAAAAAAACAAGGCCUAUUUAGAAAUCGGGUUGAGCCUUAGGUAAUGCUUUUUCGGCCCGGGCAUGGGCCGAAUAUGUAAAAAAAAAACUGCACUUUUUUUGUUUUUGUUUUUUACCCUUUUUUUAUAUUUUCUUGUUUUUUUUACUAUUUUGCUAUCAUUUCACCGAUCUUAAUGUUAUUUAAGUAUACAUAUGUUUUUAAUUUAUUUUCAAUUUGUUGGGAAACAUUUAUUUUAAUAUUUUUAAAUUUCUUAUGUAUUACAUUUUUUAAAAAAAUUAUAUAAAAAAAUUAAUACGAGCCAGGUCGGGUCAAGCUCGGGUUUUAACAUUUUUACCCGGGUCGGGCUUGGGCAAAAAUUUAAGCCUAUUUUUCAGGUCGGGCAGGGCAGGGCAGGGCCUUGCAAAUAGGCCUAAAAUUUCGGUUGGGCUCGGCCCGGCCCAUGUCACCUCUACAUAUGAUAACUUAAUUUUAUUUUACACAAUUUCCCUAAAAUUUUAUAAUUUAUUCAAUUUAGUCUCUAAAACUGAAACUAUAAUAACUUUUACGUUUAAGACUCAUUUUUCAUUUUGGUUUCAAUUUCAUCCUUGUUCAGUCCUCUAAAUUCAAUAAUUACAAAAAAUUUGUGUCAAUUCAAAAAUAUUUUCAUUUUGGUCCCUAAGCUCAAAACUAACAAUAUUCACUUUACAAAUUAGUCAUUAAUCAAUUCUAAACUUUCAAGCCAUUUAAUAAAAAGAAAACAUCAAAAAUCAUCAAUGACAAUAUUCCGAAACUUUAACAAUUUUACUAUUUAAUUCUCGAGUUAACUAGAUUAAGUUACAACGAUAUCAAAAACAUAAAAUUCAUGAAAAAUAGAUUUAAAAUUAAUUACCAUGCAAAGAUAAGAGUUGACCGAAUAAGGAAGCUUCAAAAAUGGCUUCAAGUUUGUUUUUGUGCAAAACGGUGGAAAAAAGACACAUUAAUGAAGAUGGCAACUUUGUUUUAUAUUUUAACAUAUUUUAUUAAUAAAUUAACUUUUUUUUUAAUCAACCAUUAAGCCACCCGUCCACUACAUUCUUAUAACGUCUAAUUUUCCAUUUAAAGUCUUGAUUUAUUUAGAGAAGGAAUCUUUUAACAAGUAAAAUUUAUAAAAUUUAUAGUGUUUAAUUUUUGCAAUUUUUAUAAUUUAGUUAUUAAAUUUUAAUUAAUUACUAAAUUGAUAAAUUAUCUAUUUAAAAUUCAAUUCACUUAUACAAUAAUUCUAUAAAUAUUUAAUAAAAAUAUUUAUGAGUUCGAUUUAUAAAAACAAUAUUGUAACGCCCCAAUUUUCGGGAAUUCUGUGAAUGUUGGCAUAGGUUUAAUUAUGUUAGUGAGCCUCUAGAAGGCCCAAGCUUAAGAUAGAACCCGGUAAUUUUAGUUAAUUUUUGUUUCAUAAGAAAAAUAGGGUAAAAUUAUGAAAUAGAACCUAUAUGAAAAUGUUUGAAAAUGCUAUAGGCUAAAUUGAAGUGGCCAAAUAAAUAGGAGUGCAAAAUAGGAGGAUUUGCAUGACAAACCUCCCAUUUUACAUAAAGUGGCCAGCCAUCAUGUUGUUGUAGACAAUAUGAGCACUUGAUAUCCAUAAUUCAUGGUACAAAUUGAUAAUGAGUUAGGUAAAUGUUCCAUGAUAAUGGAUUAGGUAAAUAUUCCAUGAUAAUGGGUUAGGUAAAUAUUCCAUGAUAAUGGUUUAGGUAAAUGUUCCAUGAUGGGCAUUUCAUGUCUUUUGUAAUAAAGAAUUAAAUGGAUGAAAUAUGAAAUUUUAUUAAAAAAAAGGGGUGAAAAGAACAAAGUUUUGUCCAUCUUUGUUCAUCAUAGCCUAAAGUUAGAGAAGAGAAAGGAGAGGAGAAAGCUCUUGAAUGUUCGGUCACUUGGGGAAGAAAAUUGAAGGUAAGUUCAUGGUAGUUUGCUUCUAUCUUGAUGUUCAUGAGUUCUUCUUGAUUCUACCUUAACUCUUGAAGCAUAUUUUGGUUUUUGGUUGUAUUGUGAGCAUUUGGUCAUGAAUUAAAAUGAAGGGAUGGUUAUUGUUUCAUGUUCUUUUGAUGAAAAAUGGAAGAUAGGUGAAGUUGAGCCAAACAAAUGAGCAUGCAUGUGCCUUAGAUGCUAAGGGGAAAAAAUCGACUAACAUGUUGUGCUUUAAAAUGAUGAAAUGGAGACUAUACUUAAGUAAACUCAUAGAUAUGUGAUGAUUGAUUGGUAAUAUACAUGUUUAAAUAACAUGCAUGCAAGUUAUGUGUGAAAGAGUGAUUUGGUAAUAAAUCUGCUUGGGACAGCAGCAGUAACGUGACUUUGGAAAAUCACCAUAAAUUGUGGGAGAUGAGUUAGAAGCUGCAUAAAUGAUGUAAUUAAAGCUUAAUGAGUCUAGUUUCAAAUGGAAUAAACGAGAACAUAUUUUGAAUUCUGUACAAUGAGAAAUUUGAUUCGUAAUGAAGAGUGGUCAGAUUAGUCAAACAGUGAAACAUGGAAAACUUUGAGAAAAAUCUGGUAUUUAUUGGCUAGACCAAAAAUUCUGAAAAUUUUAUGGAUAUAAGAUAUAUGAGUCUAUUUUCAAGGAAAAUUAACGGAACUUGAUUUGGAGUUUCGUAGCUCCAGUUAUAAAUGAUUUAGUGACUGUUGCUCAGGAAGACAGCUUGCAGUGAAAUUAUGAUUAUGUGGUAAACAUUGACAAAAAAUUGUUAAUGAGUUGCUUAUUGUCUUCUUAUAAGCUUACUAUGAUCUGUAGAUGUGGUUGGCCGAAUAUUGUAAGGGGUUAAUACGUACUUUGUAUUUGAAUAGUUAGAUUAACGUGUUAGUAAUCCAAUUGUAGGCGGUUCGUGUGUGGAUUUCAUCAACAUAUCGUCGCAAACAGGUGUGUAACUAACACCCUCUUUCUUAGUCUAGAUCGGCAAAAGUCGAAAAGUCGAAAUGCCAAAAACCGGUAUUUUGUAGAUUUGCGAGUGUGCGAAUGCUCGUAAGGUAAAUCGAUUAAUGUUUUUGGUAAGCUGCAAUGUUUGGACUGCAAAGUGCAUGAUUUCAGUGCCCUCGAUAUUUUUGGGCUUAAUGGGCCAAAACUGGAAUGAUGGGCCAACGGGCCCAGUUCGGUAAGAACCCUCGGUAGUGAUUCUGUUAGUACGUGAAAGGUAGGAAUAUGCAUGAAAAACCUUAAAAUAGAUAAAUUACUGAAAUACCUUUAAAAGUGAAAAUUUUACAGUUUUACCUCUAGGAGAUAAAUUACCGAAAGACCCAUAGGGUUAAAUUGACCUAAAUGCAUGUUUGACUGUUGUUAUUUACUGCAUGCCAUGUUGUUAUUAUCUGAUGCAUGGGACUGGGAUAUUGACGGAGGAAGUACUGAAAGUGGCUUGUCCACGUACUGGAGGUUUUGCCUCAAUUUACUGUUAACUGAGCAGCAAGGCUGCAACUGUGGAGUGUUGGGCUGGGUGGGUUGAGCUAUUCCCCACAUGGAGUGUAUGGCUGGUACGGGUGGAGUGUAGUGGUUGGUGGGUUGAGUAGUCUCCCCAAAUGGGCUUGCAUAUGUUUACUGAUGUUGCAUGUAUUUUGAAAUGGGCCUAUGGGCCAUACUGUUAUCUGAAUAAGGGGCUAAGGCCCAGUUUAUUGUAAUCUGAAAAGGGCUCUGGCCCAGUACCACUGUUACCUGAAUGGGCUUAGGCCCAAUGGGCUUGAGCUGACUUGGGCUUUGAAUGGGUUUUUCUUACAUACUGAGUUUCCCCAAACUCACCUCUUCUUUAACCUUGCAGGUGAGCCUUGAUGUGGGUGACUUGGAGCCGGAGGGGAUUCAGAGUGGCCAUGGUGAAUACUUUUGGGUUUGAAAAAGAGACUGGUUUUCUUAAGUUAUUUUUAAUUGCUAUUUAAUUUUUGAGUUGUAAUAAGGCCAUUUUAACUUUAUUUUCUUCUUUGAUUUUUCUGGGAUUAUAUUAUUAAAAACAACUUUAAAUUGAUGGAUACUAAUUCAAAUGGGCUAGACUUAGGGUGUGAUUUCAAAACGAUACUUGUUUUUUUUUUUAAAAUAACACGACGUCACGAAUAUUCGGUUUACCAAAGAUAAUCACUCAAAGAAAUUUCAACUUGUUAUAACCAAGUGUGACAAUGGAUGUAGGCAUGUCUAGGAUUGGAUCCAAUCGGAGAGCUUGGUACUUAAGCAGCUUUCAUGACUCACCUCCUCUAUUAUGGAUACCUACCUAGUGCCCAGCUUCCAUUCACUUGGUUAGUUUGUGAAAAGUCGGCCUUUUUUUAAACACUAAAAAGGGAACACGGGUUUUUGACUUCAAAGUGGCAUGUCGGAUUCGGCCUUAACGACUGGGCCGGGUUUGGGGUGCUACAAAUAUCCCGAUAUUUCAUUUUUCACCAUCACUGCUUUUAGAGUUGUUGCCCUUGUAUCUUAAAUAACUAUUCAUUCAAUAAAAUUAAUGGACUAAAAAGUCAACAUAAUACUAUCGUAGACUCGUAAAUAUUAAUUAAUAAUAUUUAUUGACACGAUUAUCAGAGAACGAAUUUUUGAACCACUGAAAAUCGAAUUGUUACAAUCAAAAUUUAAACUAUUUAAAAAAUAAGGGGAUUAUUUAAAAAAUAAGGGGAUUAUUGGAACAUAUUCAAAAUACUUAUAAUAUUUUAAUAAUUAUAAUUGAAAAAUAACUAAUGAAUUCCUAUAAAUAGGAGUGGAAAGAAAUGUAACUCAAAGUGUUGGCUUGAGGGAAAAGAUAAGAUGAUUCUUAGUAAACAAAUUAGUAACUCCAGCACAGAUACUAAGGUAGACCUAAUUGAUUCAUUGAACAAAACCAAAACAAGGCAGCCUCUACUGAUCUCUUGUCCGUAUGCUAUAUAUGCAUCAAACCUGGUAAACACAUCUCCACAAUAAUCAUAACAGCCACAAACCCUCCUUUUCUUUAAAUAUGACCCACAAAACUCAAAAGACAUACUUGAAGCUUGCAUGAUCUUGCUUUAACCUUUGCUUUUUUGUUGUGGGAGAAAGAGAGUGGUUGGCAUGUAAAAGUCCAAUUCAGAAUUUGACACAAUUAAACAGUUUGAUAUCACAUUCCCAAUAUUUGAAUCAAGCCAAUCUUCAGUUUAUAUAUAUUCCCUUUAAAUAGAAGCUUAAUUUUUGUAGCUGUUACUCUGUUUUUGCUUGUAGAACAGUUGCUUCCAUGGGGGUUUCCUCCUUGUUCCUCCAUGACCUGUUUCUUCAUUAAAAUUCAAAAGGAUAUUGCAUGAGAUCUAACUCUAAAAUGACUGCUUGAUGUAAACUCUGAAAUUUGCUUUACUACUAAUAUAUGGUAGGUAAAUGUCAGUGUCAUGUUUGGGGCUAAUGAUAUAUGAUACUAUCAAAUGUUACAGAAUUGUUUCGUUGGUUCCAAGUUUCACCCAUGAAGAUAAUGUGGGUUUUGUGCUAUUAACAUAGAAAUAAGCUCAGAAUCACGUCCAUUAUGGGACAUAGAAUAGCAUUCAUGUAGUAUAAACUUCUUUGUUUAAAUAUAAAGUUUUGACUUAUCUUUGACACCACUCUAAAGUUGCUCUAACAACUGUGUCUGCAUCAUACUGAAGUCUAAAAUGAAGCUAUGGUUUCUUUAUAUAUAUAUAUAUAUAUAUAUUAAACUGAGAUAGUUUCCAUCAUCUAAUUAAAAAAAAAAAGUACACACCAAACACUUUGCCUUUCACUAUAUAUACACUCUUUUGUAUUCUUCAAUGAAUACAUACUCAAGGAGUAGUUCAUAAGUUCACUCAAACGGAAGAGAAAUCAGACCAAAAAAAAAAAGAAAUGGGAGUUUUUCUUCUUUCAUCACCAGCAUUUCUGGUUUUCUUCACAUUUUUCAAUUUCUGUCUACUUGUUGACCCUGUAUUUGGGAUCACCAGGCACUACAAGUUUGAUGUAUGUACUAAUUUGAUAGGAUUAUCAACCAAAUAUCUGUUUGAUUGUGACUUGGUGUAUCUUAACCAUUUUGUAGGUCAAGUUGCAUAAUGUGACACGUUUGUGCCAUACAAGGAGCAUUGUUUCGGUGAAUGGACAAUUUCCAGGGCCUCGCAUUGUAGCAAGGGAGGGUGAUCAGCUUCUCGUAGAAGUGGUCAACCAUGUGCCUAACAAUGUUUCUAUCCACUGGUAUUGAAGUUUACUUUGAAAAUGACAUUAUGCAGAUAUUACAUUUACAUGCUGAAUAAAUUAUCUAUGCUCAAUGGGGGAAGGUCUAAAGUUUCAUGCUAUAUAUGGUGAUGUCUUUUCGCAACAGGCAUGGCAUUCGACAGCUUCGAAGCGGUUGGGCAGAUGGGCCAGAAUAUGUGACUCAGUGUCCCAUACAAACCGGCCAAAGCUACGUUUACAACUUCACCAUUAUAGGCCAAAGAGGGACUCUCUUCUGGCAUGCCCAUAUAUCAUGGCUAAGAGCCACUCUUUAUGGUCCCAUUAUCAUUCUUCCCAAGCGUGGCGUACCUUACCCUUUUGCUAAGCCUUACAAGGAAGUUCCCAUUGUCUUCGGUAAUGAAAUCAUCAAUGAACCGAUCCAUUAAGAUUCUACAUUUACUUUGCAAACUCAAAUUGACAUGAAGCCCUUUAUGAUAAAAUUGCAGGAGAGUGGUUCAAUGCAGAUCCUGAGGCUGUUAUUAGCCAGGCACUCCAGACUGGUGGAGGUCCAAAUGUCUCUGAUGCUUACACCAUCAAUGGUCUCCCUGGACCACUUUAUAACUGCUCAGCCAAAGGUAACAAAUAGCUAAAAUUUUGUUUUAAGCUUUAGACAUACACACACAUGUACACAUACAUUAUAGAGCUAUGGGAUUCACUUGUGGACUAACAAUUUUGACAGAUACAUUCAAGCUGAAGGUGAAGCCUGGCAAAACUUACCUUCUUCGUUUAGUCAAUGCGGCACUCAAUGAUGAGCUCUUCUUCAGCAUAGCAAAUCACACACUAACUGUUGUUGAUGUUGAUGCCGUUUAUGUUAAACCAUUUGAGACCGAAACAUUUCUCAUCACCCCUGGUCAAACUACAAAUGUGAUCCUUAAGACUAAACCAAGCUACCCAAAUGCCACUUUCUUCAUGACUGCUAGACCAUAUGUGACAGGCCAAGGAACAUUCGAUAAUUCAACUGUUGCCGGUAUUUUAGAAUACGAGUCACCACCCAAUAGCCUUCAUUCAAGCAUAAUGUUGCCCUUGUUUAAACCAAUUCUACCUGCUUUGAACGACACUUCCUUUGCUACAAAAUUCGGGAGUAAACUCCGUAGCUUGGCCAGUGCACAAUAUCCUGCCAAUGUGCCUCAGAAGGUUGAUAAGCAUUUUUUCUUCACUGUUGGUCUCGGAACCAGCCCAUGCCAGCAUAACCAAACCUGCCAAGGACCUAAUGGAACCAAGUUUGCAGCUUCGGUGAAUAAUGUAUCAUUUGCAAUGCCGACUACAGCAUUACUCCAGGCUCAUUUCUUCGGCCAAUCUAACGGAGUUUACAUCCCUGAUUUUCCUAGCACUGCUAUGACUCCAUUUAAGUAUACAGGCUCACCACCUAACAAUACUAUGGUAAGCAACGGAACAAAGGUAGUAGUGCUUCCUUUUAACACUUCCGUGGAGCUAGUUAUGCAGGACACGAGCAUUCUUGGAGCUGAAAGCCACCCUCUUCAUCUACAUGGCUUCAAUUUCUUUAUUGUCGGCCAAGGUUUCGGUAACUUCGAUCCAAAUAAGGACCCUGCAAAGUUCAAUCUGAUUGACCCCGUUGAAAGGAACACUGUUGGUGUGCCAUCAGGAGGUUGGGUUGCAAUUCGUUUUCUAGCUGACAAUCCAGGUAAGUGACAUGUUAAACACCAAUUAGAUUCAUCAAAUGCUUGCUUUGAGUUGACUAUGAUUAUCAAUGACAACAAGAACCACAUGUUUGCAGGGGUAUGGUUCAUGCAUUGCCAUCUAGAAGUGCACACCAGCUGGGGCUUGAAGAUGGCUUGGAUUGUCUUGGACGGUGAACUUCCUACUCAGAAAUUGUUGCCUCCACCAACAGAUCUUCCUAAAUGUUGAUCGAUAUGACACUUCUUGUGUUUAUUUUGACCAAAAAGCUGCCUCAAAUUUUUGCUUCAAUUUCUACCAUUUUGAUUUAUUGACUUCGUUUUUUUUUCUUUUUGGCAUUGGCCUAUCAAUGGUCCAAAUUUGUUUUCUUGAUUCUCGAGGACAUAAACCAGUAAGCGAGCAAUUUAUUUUAAAAUAAGAUCUGCAAUUGUCAAUACAAAGAAAUCACAAUAACAUACUGGCAAUCCUUUUGUUGAUUCAAUCUUAGCCUAUGAAGCAUAUCUGUACAAUUUUCAACUCUUUCACAGUAAAUUUAUUGCUUCUUUUUUUUUUUCAUUAAAAUACCAUUGCCCUUAUUAAUCAGCUCAACCUGAAUCAUACCAACUUAGCUAGUUAACUAUAAUCAUAUUUCAGAAGCUUCGUUAAUAAUAAUAUGAUCUAGUCUCAUAUAAAGACCCACUUUAUUAUAGAAUUUAUUAGUGUUCAUUAAAGCAUUCAACUUGGCUGAAGUUGUAUAACUCUUUCUCUUAACUUCGCAUGAAAAAUUCACAUUCCAAGGACUUUAAUGUCGGCUUUAUCUUAUCAUGAAAGGUCAAUAUUGAAAUUUUGAACUUCGUGGUGAGGUGUGCUAGAAGCUGUGAGUAUACACAAACAUGCAAAUACAGAAAGAACGAAAAUUCUGAAGAUAGAAAGUUACAAUUUUUAAAUAUAGAAAAUUGUUAAUGUAAUUCCAAAUUAACGUAGGAUUUCAUUACACCAUUUUAAUCUAGUGAGUUAGGCACGGUGUUUUUAGCUGUAAGACUUUACUCUCCAAGAAAAUGUUGGAACAUUUUUAAGUAUUUAUAGUGUUCCAAUAACUAUAAAUGAAUGGGUGUAAUUAAUCAAAAGAUUAUAUUGUUUGAUUUUUUGAAAAAGAAUUAUAACUAUUUAAAUAAUUUUAUUUGAAUAGUUAUAAUUAAAUGAAUAAUUAUGUGUUUAUUUUAAAGACAUUAUUAUUCAGAAAGACACCUAUUGAUGAAAGAUGUCUCUAUGAAGAGACAUGAAAAUUCCUAUAAAUAGGAAUGAGAUUUCAUUUGGAAAUCAUACCAUUAAAUUCUAAUAUUCUUACUUUCCUUCCUUCGUUUUCUAAUAUUAUUAGAUUAUUCCAUAAAGUAUUACUGCAGAAAUCUUUUAUAGAAAUUGUGUUUCCUGUCAUACAAUUGCUCAGUGUAUAGUGAGCUAUUCUCGUCAGUGCAAAACGCGAAUAGUCAUUAGCUUCAUUGUAUCCUCGAGGUUAAUUUGCUUGGAACUCGUUUGCACACCGAAGAUAGGUGAGGGCGAAUAUAACCUUAAAGAUAGUGGCUUGAUACACGCCUUGGAGCCUUGUCCUAUUUCUUCUUCUAUUCGAGUUUCGUUCGCGUGUUCGAGAUUUUCCUCACCGAAGAUUUGUACUAACAAUUUUAAGGUUAUAUUUCAUGAUGACUACCACAACUCAUGAUAGUGGAACACUAAGGGAGUUGGCUUCCAAUUUUGUCAAACUUGAUCGGUUUGAUGGUGGCAAUUUUCGACGAUAGCAGAAAAAGAUACACUUCUUGUUAUCAACUUUGAAGAUUGCUUAUGUUUUGGAUACUCCAAGACUUGACGAGACUGAAAACGAAUCUGCUGCUGCAACCCGAGAAAGACAAAAAAUGGGACAAUGCUGAUUACAUGUGCAUGGGCCACAUAUUGAAUGGUUUAUCUGAUGGUUUGUUCGACACCUACCAAAAUGAGGUCACUGCUAAAGAAUUAUGGGAUAAAUUGGAGACAAGAUACAUGACCGAGAAUGUUACAAGUAAGAAAUUUCUUGUCAGUCAUUUCAAUAAUUAUCAAAUGGUUGAUGGUCAUUCUAUUAUGGAACAAUUCCGUGAUAUUGAAAAGAUGCUAAAUCAAUUCAAGCAAUAUGAUAUAAAAAUGGAUGAAAUGAUUGUUGUAUCUUCCAUAAUAGACAAACUUCCUCCAUCUUGGAAAGACUUUAAAAGAAGUCUAAAACAUAAGAAAGAGGAAAUAUCUCUUGAGGCUUUGGCAAAUCAUCUUCGUAUUGAAGAAGAAUAUCGAAAGCAAGAUCAGAAUCUAAAUUCUGAAAAUGCCAAAGUGCAUGUUACGGAGGAAGUACAAACUACUAAACCAUUCAAGAGAAAGUUCAAACAGACUGAUAGAGCAUCUAAGUUCAAAAAGAAACAAAAGGGCUCAUGCUAUCAUUGUAGUAAGCCGGGACAUUUCAAGAAUGAAUGUCGAUUUUUAAAGAAGAAAUCAUCUUCUGAGGCUGAUAAUAACGAAAAGUUCGCUGCAAUGAUAUCUGAAAUUAAUAUGGCUCAAGAUGAUAAUACAUGGUGGAUUGAUACCGGAGCAACCAAACAUGUGUGCAAAGACAAAAGCAUGUUCACAAAGUUCACACAAUGUGAAAAUGACAAUGUCUUAUACAUGGGAAAUUCUUCCACCACAGAAAUCAAAGGCAAAGGGUCUGUUGAACUACAAUUCACUUCUGCAAAGGUUUUAACCUUAAAUGAUGUAUAUUAUGUACCAGAAGUUAGGAAGAAUUUAUUGUCUGGAAGUCUGUUAAAUAAGUUUGGUUUCAAACUUGUUUUUGAGGCAGAUAAGUUUAUUUUGUCUAAGUGAGGAAUUUUUAUAGGGAAAGGGUAUAUGUAUAAGAGUAUGUUCAAACUAAAUAUUAUUAAUAAGAAUAAAAAUACUAUUUCUACUUAUAUGGUUCAGUCCUUUUGUUUAUGGCAUUAUAGAUUAGGUCAUUUGAAUUAUAGGAAAUUGAAUGACAUGUAUAAGUUAGAUUUAAUUCCUAUUUUUAAUAAUAAUAUUGGAAAAAUACAAUACAUAUAUGUUGACUAAAAUUACAAGAAACCCUUUCCCUAAGGUUAAAAAAAAACAAAAUUGCUUGAUUUGAUACAUAGUGAUUUAUGUAACAUGCAUAAUACUCCUACAUUAGGUGGAAAGAAAUAUUUUGUCACUUUUAUUGAUGAUUGUUCUACAUAUUGUUAUGUAUAUUUAUUGCAUUCAAAAGAUGAAGCGCUUGAUAGAUUUAUAAACUUUAAAUUUAUCAAGUGCUUAAGAUCGAAUAGAGGUGGAGAAUACUAUAAUCCAAGUUAUUUUGAAUCCACUGGGAUUAUCCAUCAAGUUUUAGCCCCCUACACACCACAACAAAAUGGUGUAGCUGAAAGGAAAAAUAGAGUCUUGACUGAAAUGGUAAAUUCAAUGUUAUCAUAUUCAAGUCUUGGACAAGGUUUUUGGGGAGAAGCUGUUCUAACAGCUUGUCAUAUAUUGAAUAGAGUUCCUAAUAAGAAAACUAAAAUAAUCCCCUAUGAACAAUGGAAAAAAAGAAAACCAAACCUUAAUUAUUUGAAGGUUUGGGGUUGUAGAGCUAUUGUCAAAGUUCUAACACCUAAACGUAAAAAGUUAGGUGAAAGAAGAAUUGAAUGCAUAUUUAUAGGAUAUGCACAUAAUAGCAAGGCAUAUAGGUUCAUGGUAAUUGAACCAAAUGAUUCAAUUUCAAUUAAUACUGUUAUUGAAUCAAGAGAUGUUAUUUUUUAUGAAAAUAGAUUUAAUUCUAUAUCAAGACAAUUACAGCCACAAAAAUUGAUUCAUUCUUCAAAUGAGAAUGAGAUUCCAUUGAAACAAAUUGAUAAUAAUGAUGAAUCUUGUCAAGAUUUAAGAAGAAGUAAGAGGAUUAAAAAGGUCAAAGAUUUUGGACCAGAUUUCAUUAUGUUUCUUGUAGAAGGAAAAGGUGAAAGUAUAUGCAAUAAGAUACCUUAUUGUUAUAAUACGGAAUCUGAUCCUAUUACAUUUGAAGGCAAUGAAAUCUCAAGACUCUGCUUUUUGGAAAGAAGCAAUAAAUGAUGAGAUAGAUUCAAUAAUGGGAAAUCAAACUUGGAUCUUAGUUGGUCUUCCAUCGGGGUCCAAACCAAUAAGUUGUAAAUGGAUCUUCAAAAAGAAAAUGAAGGUCGAUGGAACCAUUGAUAAGUUUAAAGCAAGGUUGGUAGACAAAGGUUUUACACAAAAACAAUGUAUUGAUUACUUUGAUACCUAUGCUCCAGUAGCAAGAAUUGCUACAAUUAGACUCUUAAUAUCACUUACCUCUAUAUAUAAUUUGGUUGUUCACCAAAUGGAUGUUAAAACUGCAUGUUUAAAUGGUGAAUUGGAAGAGGAAGUGUACAUGGAACAACCAGAAGGAUUUGUUGUUCCAAGACAAGAGCAUAAGGUUUGUAAGCUUGUUAAAUCUUUAUAUGGACUUAAACAAGCACCAAAACAGUGGCACCAAAAGUUUGACAAUGUUGUUUUAGCUAAUGGCUAUAAAAUAAAUGAAUCCGAUAAGUGUAUAUAUAGCAAAUUUGAAAAUGGAAAAGGUGUCAUAAUUUGCUUAUAUGUAGAUGACAUGCUCAUUUUUGGCACAGAUUUGGAACAAAUAGAAAACACAAAGAAAUUCUUGUCAAGUAACUUUUCUAUGAAGGAUAUAGAUGUAGCAGGUGUUAUUCUUGGGAUUAAAAUAACACAAGAUAAAAGCACUAUAGCUUUAUCACAAUCACAUUACAUUGAAAAGGUGCUUAAAAAGUUUGAUCUUUUCAACUAUAUAUCUGCAUCUACACCCAUGGAUCCUCAAAUAAAAUUAGUAUCUAAUGCUGGUAGGAAAACUGAUCAAUUGAAAUAUGCAAGUCUAGGUUUACAUACAACUACAUUGAUCUUAAUUGGUUGUCUUAUGUACAUAAUGACUUGUACAAGACCAGAUAUUGCAUAUGCUGUUGGGAAAUUGAGUAGGUACACAAGUAAUCCAAGUAGCUUGCAUUGGCAAGCUUUGAAUAGAGUACUUAGGUACUUAAAGAAAAUUAUUAACUAUGGAUUGUGUUAUAAUGGAUAUCCUCCAAUUUUAGAAGGGUAUUCGGAUGCUAGUUGGAUUACAAGUUUGGAAAAUCAUGCAUCUACUAGUGGAUGGAUUUUCAUUCUUGGUGAAGGAGCCAUUUCUUGGGGUUCCAAGAAACAAACUUGUAUUACUGAUUUCACCAUGGCAGCAGAAUUUAUUGCAUUAGCCGCUGCAUCUAAAGAAGCAGAAUGGUUAAGAAAUUUGCUUUAUGAUGUACCUUUAUGGCCUAAGCCAAUUUCACCUAUUUCUAUUCGUUGUGAUAGUGAGGCUACUCUAGCAAAGGCAUAUAGCCAAGUAUAUAAUGGAAAGUCUAGACGCAUUGGAUUAAGUCAUAGUUAUGUCCGACAAUUAAUUUUUGAUGGAGUGAUCACUAUUAAUUAUGUGAGAUCAAGUGAAAAUUUGGCGGAUCCUUUGACAAAAAGUCUUGCUAGAGACACAGUAAAAAGGACUUCAAAAGGGAUGGGACUCAAGCCCAUUAAUUAGAGUCACCCAUGAUGGAAACUCGACUCAAUGCUUGGUAUAAUGUCAAGUCUUGAGUUCAAUGAGACAAAGUACAUCAUCAGUAUGUGAUUGUUAGCAUUGUAAAUAAAUCCAUCCUAAGAUUAAAGUGCUAGAUACCCUUAAUGAUAAGGGAAUGAUGAGUAAUGUACUCUUAAUGGACCCAUAACAUAAAAAUGUUAGAGUGUUAUAAUUACAGGAACACUCUUGAUGGGAUCUACCUAUGUAAGUGGAAGUAUGGCCGCUUCUAGGAGCUCAAGGGUUUGGUUCUGACAGCACUCAUGGAAAGAGGACACAGACACAUGGCCAUAAUAGUGUCCCUAGAUACUAUGCAUUGACCGAUGUUGAAAUUAUUGUGUGAGAUGUGUUCGGUUAAUCAAAUGAAAUAGUUGGUUCAAAGCUUAGUCUACCAUGCAAUUUCGAUUAACUUUAAAAUAUUUUCACUAAGUGAAGGUUCAAUCGUAAGAUACCUUUCAUUUAUGCAAAUUGAUUUCCAAGAAUAUCAAAAUCUAAAAUAUUUUGAAAAUGGUGGGGAGAUUGUUGGAACAUUUUCAAAUAUUUAUAGUGUUCCAAUAACUAUAAAUGAAUGGGUAUAAUUAAUCAAAAGAUUAUAUUGUUUGAUUUUUUGAAAAAGAAUUAUAACUAUUUAAAUAAUUUUAUUUGAAUAGUUAUAAUUAAAUGAAUAAUUAUGUGUUUAUUUUAAAGACAUUAUUAUUCAGAAAGGCACCUAUUGCUGAAAGAUGUCUCCAUGAAAAGACAUGAAAAUUCCUAUAAAUAGGAAUGAGAUUUCAUUUGGAAAUCAUACCAACAAAUUCUAAUAUUCUUUCUUUCCUUCUUUCGUUUUCUAAUAUUAUUAGAUUAUUCUAUAAAGUAUUACUGCAGAAAUCCUUUAUAGAAAUUGAGUUUCUUAUCAUACAAUUGCUCAGUGUGUAGUGGGCUAUUCUCGUCAGUGCAAAACGCGAAUAGUCAUUGGCUUCAUUGUAUCCUCGAGGUUAAUUUGCUUGGAACUCGUUUGCACACCCAAGAUAGGUGAGGGCAAAUAUAACCUUAAAGAUAGUGGCUUGAUACACGCCUUUGAGCCUUAUCCUAUUUCUUCUUCUGUUCGAGUUCCGUUCGUGUGUUCAAGAUUUUCUUCACCGAAGAUUUGUACUAACAGAAAAUUAGCAAAUCGACGAGGUAUUUGUACAAUUCCCAUGUAUCUAUCAUAGUGUUCUCUACCUCUAUUCGAUCUCACAAUAUUAUUUGUUUUUCACGUUGUCUUAUUUAUAAUCCUUUUCACUAAGACCUGCAAUCCAAGAAGAUAUGUGUUAGCAUUAUCCUUAUAACACCCAUAUCCAAGCCGAUCGUCGGGUUUAAGCUACGAGAUGCUACAACUACUGAUUGAGUAAAUUCUAAUCACUAUGCAACAUUCAAUCAUGAAUAUUUAUCACAUAAAAGUCUUUAUAAAUCAGUCUUCCAAUUACUCAGAAAUUCUAUUAAAUAAAUAUGAUAUUUAUCUCUAAAAAUAACAUUUUAAUCACUAAAAGAUAAUAAAACUUUCAUGCUUAUCUAAUCACUUUAAGCAAUUCAGUAGGGAAUCCUAAUACCCUAGUCAACUCAGCUUCUAAUUUUUUCAAAUAUGUCACAUUCAAGUGAAUUGAACUCAACAUAAAAGAAACAUAUUCAAGGCUCAAGUGGAGAAACAAUUUCGUUAUAAUAGGACAUGUAAUAGCCAAUUUUGGCCCAGGUAAAUAAACAAAAAAUAAAACCCAAAUAACCAAAUAAAAAAUCUAAAUUUUAAGUCCAUUUACAACAUAUGUAUAACCCUAGCCCAACUACACAAAACAUUUCAGCGAAACCCUAGCCCUUCCAAGCUUCAACCGCCGCAUGCCUUGGCCACCACGCCCCUAAUCGGCUCCUCUUCCACGUGUCGCACGACACCUGUAACAAAAUCAAGUAGAACAGCAAAAAAGGCACGCGAAUGACAAAGAAGUAAUUAGCAAAAGAACAAAAACCAUGAAACCAACUGUUGGUAGAUUGGCUUUAAAAGCCAAGAUCUAUUCUUUGUAAACGGUUACGAACACUUACAAACAUCAGAAAAUAAAAACAAAAGAAAACUUCGAAAGGUGAUUUUAAUCUUCACUUCCGUUUCAGAUUGUUGCUUGGUUCUUUUAUUUUAUUUUUUUCUUCAUUUUUUUGUUCAUAAAUAUUAAGUAAUAAUAAUAAAAAAGGGGAAAAGCCCAUCUUCGCACACCGUCGGCCACCGAGUACGGUGGUGGUACGGCGGGCGGUGAUGGAAUCCGAUUCGUCGGAGAAACAAAGGGGGAGAGAGUGUUUUGUGUUUUUUUCUUUGGAAAAUAAAAGAAGAAACGGCAGAUUGAAUAAAGAAGGAAAUUUUAUGGUUUUAAAUCAUUUGAAACGGCGCCGUUUGGUGAGUAGGGGUUUGUGCAUUCUCCCUAAAUGGGAGAUUUGUGCGAUUGGUCCUUCUCCUUCGCAACCACAUUCAAUCAGGCCCCAUUUUCUGUUUUCUUUUGUUUUUAAAAUUUAGCCCUCAGAUCUUGUUUGGUUUUCGUUUUGAUCCCUAAUUAACCUUUUAGUAUUUAUACUUUUAUACCCCGAAUUUUAAUUCGUUUUUAGCCGUAUCCUAAAUCUAUUUAAUUCAUUUAUUAACCUUUUUUUUAUGUUUCAUUUAUAUGUUAUUUCAAAUAUUUUAUAUGUUAUUUAUUUACAUCUAUUCUAAUUUUAUUUAAUGUACUGUUUGUUCAAAUUCUUAUUAUUUAUUUUAACUUGCUUUAUGUAUAUAUGUUAUCUUAAUCUAUUUUAUAUGUAUUAUUUAUUUUUUAUUCCUUACCUAUUAUAUAUAUAUAUAUAUGUAUACAUAUAGUUUAUUUCAAGCUUUUUUAUAUAUUUAUAAUUCUUUAAAAAUCGUGUUGUUAUAUAUUUAUUUCAAAUUAUUUAAUAUUUUAAGUUAUUGUAUAUUAUGUAUUUGAAAUAACUCUCUUUAUAUUACUCUUGAACUGUUACUAUUAUAAAAUAUAUUUAUAUUGUCUAUUUUUAAUUCUUUUACGUAUUAUAUAUUUUAAACUUCUUAUUUAUUAUUUUUAAAUUAACUUAUAUAUUAUUUAUUUUGAAAUUAUUUUAUAUACUUUAUUUUAAACCCGUUCUACUUAUUCCAUAUUAUUUAUUUUACAUUUUUAUUUAUACAUAUUAUCUAUUUUAAAAUUAUUCAUAUAUCAUUUUUAAUUUGCUUUAUGUAUUAUAGAUUUUAAAAUUCUUCUUUUACAUUAUUUUGAAACUCAUUUAUUACCAUUCUUGAAGUCUUUUUACAUUUUAUUUAUUUUAAUUUACUUUAUACUUUAUUUUAUUUUUAAGAUUGUUAUAUAUUAUUUAAUUCAUUGGUCUUUAUUUAUCGAUGUUAUUAUUUAAGUGAUGUAUCCCCAUUAUGUGUAUUUUAAUUCGUUUAUUUUGUGUAAUUGUUAUUCAUUCGUAUAAUGUUGUGUUCAUGUAUCAUUAUUCUAGGCUCAUUACUAUAUUUUAUAUCACAUCAUCGCCUUAUGAAUCAAGCCUCGUUGCAUUUAUCCAAUAAAUCGUUUUAUUUUAAUCCAAACAAAAUAACGUGCGUCGUUUAAGUAUCGUAUUCGCUAUUAUCCAAAACAAAAAUGUUAAAAUAAGGCAAUGUUUCGCGUUUUGGAACAUUGAGAAAUUGUGCCCUAACUUACAGGGUUUCGACUUUUUUGUUGGUUCUAAAUAGCUAAAUAUCCUUUUGAGUUUUAAAAUACACGGAAUUCCAAUUAAAAUUAAAGAUAAACCUGCGAUCGAGAGUUCAUGGUAUUGUGUCCUAACUUACGGGAUGUGAUACUCCGAUAUCUAGAGACGAGGAAAUCUUUAACAAUCGUUUAGAGCUAAUUCAACCUUUUUUUUUUAAAUCGACACUAAUAAAAAAGGAUCGUAUUUUAAAUCCAUUCCCGAUUUUCAACUUUCGACAUUAAGACACUAACUAAUCAAUUCGGUACCAAUUUUUGGGCGUGUCUAGGGUGCUAAUCCUUCCUCGCACAUAACCGAUUCCCGAACUUGUUCUCUUGAAUUUCGUAGACCAAAAAUACCGUUUUAGUAAACUAAACUUGUUUUAUUAAAAUAAAGGUGAUCCGAUCACACCUAAUAAAGAUCGGUGGCGACUCCCGUUUUAAUUUUUAUUUUCAAACAAAGUUGAAGCCCGUUUUAAAAAAAAUGGUUUCGACAGGACAUAGAAUGAGCAAGAACAACUUUCCCAACAAUUAUUAUUAAAUAAAUUUUUUUCGUCAUUUAUAAGUUAAAUUUAAUUAAUACAAAAUAUAUAAAACCAUAAAAAGUAAAACCUUUUUCAAUAGAUGAAGAUGUUAAUUAUUGUUAUUUAUAUUAUUUUCAAUAUAUAAGACAAUGCUUAGAAUUAUUUAUAACUCUUAUUUACAUUAUUUUCAAUAUAUAAGACAAUGCUUAGAAUUAUUUAUAACUCCUCUCCAACCUUUAAAUAAAAGAAUAGUGACUUUUAGCGCACUCGAGCCCACGUGCUCCUGCACUAACAACAAUAUCCAUGUUAAUUGAGCUAAGACUCAAUCGGCAAGUUUUUUAGGAUUUUUAAAUAAAUUAGAAAAUAUUUUAAGUCAAUUUAAAUCAAAAUCAAAAGUUUUUUUUUGUAAUUUUGCAUUGUAUUUCAAUGAUUUUUCUUGACUUAUUAAUUUUACUUUAGAAUAUUUUUAUUAAGUAUUUAUAAUUUUUGGAAUUUUCCAUCAAGAUUGUAUAAUAUAAGCCAAAAUUGUAUAUUUUAUGAUAAUAGAGAAUGAUAAUUACAUUUAUAAGUUAUAACUAAAUAAAAAAAUAAUAUUAUAAUUAUAAGUGUUAUGUUUAUUAACUUUUCAAAAAAUAUUGUACUUAAUUUAAAUUCAGGUCACUUCGAGUUAUUUGUUUUGAUUAUUUCAAAUCCAAGUUGGAUGGGUUCAAGUUGUUGACUUCUCCUUAUAAAAUUGAGUUGAUCGAAUCAAAUUUUUAAGUUUAAGUCAAAAUUGACAUAUAUAUAUGUCAUUAGUAAAUUAAUCUUAUGUAUAUAGUAAUCCAUUUGUAAUUAGAAGAAAUAACAAAUUAAAAUAAUAUUUAUAAUUUUAUUUGAUGGGACAACUUUUUUUCACUUUUGGCAAAUGGGUGGAAAAAUAUUGUUUUUGGAUAUAGCCAUGGGGACUACGUUGGUGUGGAUAUAUGUUUAAUCUUUGCCUUUUUGUGGGAGAAAGAGAGAGUGGUUGGCAUGUAAAAGUCCAAUUCAGUAAUUGACACAAUUAAGCAGUUUGUAUAUUUGACUCAAGCUAAUCUUCAGUUUCUAUAUAUAUCUCUUAAAAGAGAAGUUUAAUUUUUGUAGCUAUUAGUCUGCUCUUGCUUGAAGAACAGUUGCUUCCAUGGGGGUUUCCUCCUUUUACCACCAUGACCUGUUUCUUCAUUAAAAUUUAAAAGGAUAUUGCAUGAGAUCCAACUCUGAAAUGACUGCUUGAUGUAAACUCUGAAAUUUACAUGGUAGGUAAAUGUCAGUGUCAUGUUUGGGGCAAAUGAUAUACGAUACUAUCAAAUGUUACAGAAUUGCUUAGUUGGGUCCAAGUGAGGGUUUUGUACUAUUAACAUAGAAAUAAGCUCAGAGUCACGUCCAUUAUGGGACAUAGAAUAGCAUUCAUGUAGUAUAGAUUUCUUUGUUUAAAUAUAAAGCUUUGACUUAUCUUUGACACCACUCUAAAGUUGCUCUAACAACUGGGUCUGCAUCAUACUGAAGUCUAAAAUGAAGCUAUGGGUUUCUUUAUAUAUAUAUAUAUAUAUAACUGAGAUAGUUUCCAUCAUCGAAUUAAAAAAAAAAAAGUACACACCAAACACCCCUUUGCCUUUCACUAUAUAUACACUCUUUUGUAUUCUUCAAUGAAUACAUACUCAAGGAGUAGUUCAUAAGUUCACUCAAUCGGAAGAGAAAUCAGACCAAGAAAAAAGAAAUGGGAGAUUUUCUUCUUUCAUCACCAGCAUUUCUGGUUUUCUUCUCAUUUUUCACUUUCUGUCUGUCGAGACCAUUUUUAAAUCGAGUUUUGAAAAAUGGGAAUCGACUUUAAGAAAAACAAAAACGAGAGUCGCCACCAAUAUUUUUAGGUGUGAUUGAAUCACCUUAUAAAAUGUUUUGUUUUAAAACAUUAAUUUUGGUCUACGAAAGUUGAGAAGACGGAUUCGGGAGUCGGUUACGUACGAGGAAGGGUUAGCACCCUCGUAACGCCCAAAAAUUGGUACCUAAUUGAUUAUCAAGUGUCUUUAAUGUCAGAAAUUUGAAAGUUUUAAGAUGCAAACCUCUUUUAAUUAGAAUGUCUCAAUUUUGAAAAUUAAGGCUCAUUUAUUUUAAACGAGUCAAAACAUCACAUCCAGUAAGUUAGGACGCAACAUUUUAAAACCUUUGAAACUAAGCUCGUCUUUCGAAAAUUUCUAUCUCGAAACAACAAAACGCCAUAUCCAGUAAGUUAGGACACUAUGUUUUGAAAUCUCGAAAUAAUUGUUUAAGUUUUGAAAACUCAAAAUCACUUAGAAGGGUGCUUGACUAUUCGAAUUCAACGAGAAAAGUCGCAACCCAGUAAGUUAGGGCACUACCUUUCUCGAAGUUUCCAAACAUCAAGCAUUGCCUCUUUUUUUAAAAAAAAAACCUUGGAAUAUUAUUUUAAAUGACGUUUUAGGAUGACAUAUUAAUGCAUCAUGAAGCAUAGAUGUACAAAAUAUUCUAACAUUUCCAUACAAACAUAAAUAAUAUCAUUAAGACAAAACUAAAUAACAUGAACAUACGUUUAAUGAAAAAAAUCAUACUAGGAUAAAUAUAAGAUAAUAAACAAAUAAAAAUCUGAGUAAACUAAAAGAAAAACAUAAUACAUGCAAAAAUUGUACAACAAUAUAUAUCAUAAAAUAGCAUAUAAAAGAAAUAAUUAAACAUAGCAUAUAAAAAAAUGAAACUAUGCACAAAUAAGAUAAAUGACAUACACUAAAAAAAUGAAUAAAUAGAACAUUUACAAAUUAUAAAAAUAUAAUGCAAUAGUUCAAAAUACAUGAAAUGAUAAUAUAAUAUAUAUACAUGCAUAGAAAAUAUAUAUUUGAAAAUAAACUAUAUAAAAAGGUUAAAUAUUAUAAUAUAUAAAAUACAUAAUCAAAUGUAUAAAAGAUAGGAAUAAAUAUACAUAUUUGAAAAAUGAAGAAAUUAAAAUAAAAAAAAGGGUUGAAAAACUAAGAUAGACGAAGAAUAAAAUAAGAACAAACCACAAAAAGUAAGAACGCAAGAGGGAGAGAAAUUUGAGUGAAUGCUCUCAAGAAUUCUUAUUGCUUCCCAAAACUCAAGUGAUUUACAAUGAAGGGAGAGGCCUCUAUUUAUAGUUGAGCCUCCCCAAAUCCAACGGUACAGAUCAAUUACAUCAACGAUUAAGAUUAAAGGAUAUCUACAAAUUAAAUCUCCAAGAUUACAAGAUCAUAUCUUCAAGAUUGCAUAUCAUAUCUAAGAUUGGAUAUCAUAUCUAAGAUUGCAUAUCAUAUCUAAGAUUGUAUCAUAUCUAAGAUUGCAUAUCCUUAAAGAUUAUAUUUCUAUAUGAGUCAAGUUCAUAGUGGACCUUCAAUCUUUUCAAGUAAUGGGCCAUUUCGAUUGGGCCAAAUUAUAUGUUUGUAAUUUUGUACUAGACUUGGACUUUGUUUUUUUUGGGGGGGGAUUUAUUGUUUUAAAUACUGAAAUGGGCCGGGCAAAAAUGGGCCAUUACACUGUCUACCUGUUGACCCUGUAUUUGGGAUCACCAAGCACUACAAGUUUGACGUAUGUAUUAAUUUGAUAGGAUUAUCAACCAAAUAUCUGUUUGAUUGUGACUUGGUGUACCUUACCCAUUUUGUAGGUCAAGUUGCAUAAUGUGACACGUUUGUGCCAUACAAGAAGCAUUGUUUCGGUGAAUGGACAAUUUCCAAGGCCUCGCAUUGUAGCAAGGGAGGGUGAUCAGCUUCUCAUCAAAGUGGUCAACCAUGUGCCUAACAAUAUUUCUAUCCACUGGUAUUGAAGUUUACAUUGAAAAUGACAUCAUGCGGAUAUUACAUUUACAUGUUGAAUAAAUUAUCUAUGCUUAAUGAGGGAAGGUCUAAAGUUUCAUUAUAUGGUGAUGUCUUUUUGAAACAGGCAUGGCAUUCGACAGCUUCGAAGCGGAUGGGCCAGCAUAUGUGACUCAGUGUCCCAUACAAACCGACCAAAGCUGCGUUCAUAACUUCACCAUUAUAGGCCAAAGAGGGACUCUAUUCAGGCAUGCCAUAUAUCAUAGCUAAGAGCCACUCUUUAUGGUCCCAUUAUCAUUCUUCCUAAGCGAGGCGUACCUUACCCUUUUGCUAAGCCUUACAAAGAAGUUCCCAUUGUCUUCGAUAAUGAAAUCAUCAAUGAACCGAUCUAUUAAGAUUCUACAUUUAUUUUGCUAACUCAAAUUGACAUAAAGCCUUUUAUGAUAAAAUUGCAGGAGAGUGGUUCAAUACAGAUCCUGAGGCUGUUAUUAGCCAGGCACUCCAGGCUGGUGGAGGUCCAAAUGUCUCUGAUGUUUAUACCAUCAAUGGUCUCUCCGGACCACUUUAUAACUGCUCAGCCAAAGGUAAUAAAAGCUUUAGACAUACCCACACAUGUACACAUACAUUAUAGAGCUAUGGGAUUCACUUGUGGACUAACAACUUUGACAGAUACAUUCAAGUUGAAGAUGAAGCCUGGCAAAACUUACCUUCUGCAUUUAGUCAAUGCGGCACUCAAUGAUGAACUCUUCUUUAGCAUAGCAAAUCACACACUAACUGUUGUUGAUGUUGAUGCCAUUUAUGUUAAACCAUUUGAGAUUGAAACUCUUCUCAUCACCCCUGGUCAGACCACAAAUGUGAUCCUUAAGACUAAACCAAGCUAUCCAAAUGCCACUUUCUUCAUGACGGCUAGACCAUAUGUGACAGGCCAAGGAACAUUCGAUAAUUCAACUGUUGCUGGUAUUUUAGAAUACGAGUCACCACCAAAUAGCCUUCAUUCAAACAUAAUGUUGCCAUUGUUUAAACCAAUUCUACCUGCUUUGAACGACAAUUCCUUUGCUACAAAAUUCAGGAGUAAAGUUCGUAGCUUAGCCAGCAUACAAUAUCCUGCCAAUGUGCCUCAGAAGGUUGAAAAGCAUUUUUGCUUCACUGUUGGUCUCGGAACCAGCCCAUGCCAGCAUAACCAAACUUGCCAAGGACUUAAUGGAACCAAGUUUGUAGCUUCAGUGAAUAAUGUAUCGUUUGCAAUGCCGACUACAGCAUUACUCCAGGCUCAUUUCUUCAGCCAAUCUAACGGAGUUUACACCCCUGAUUUUCCUAGCACUCCUAUAACUUUAUUUAACUAUACAGGCUCACCACCUAACAAUACUAUGGUAAGCAACGGAACAAAGGUAGUAGUAUUUCCUUUUAACACUUUCAUGGAGCUAGUUAUGCAGGACACGAGCAUUCUUGGAGCCGAAAGCCACCCUCUUCAUCUACAUGGCUUCAAUUUCUUUAUUAUCAGCCAAGGUUUUAGAAACUUUGAUCCAAAUAAAGACCCUGCAAAGUUCAAUCUAAUUGACCCUGUUGAAAGGAACACUGUUGGUGUGCCAUCAGGAGGUUGGGUUGCAAUUCAUUUUCUAGCCAACAAUCCAAGCAAGUGACAUGUUAAACACCAAUUAGAUUCAUCAAAUGCUUGCUUUGAGUUGAUGAUAACCACUGACAACAAGAAUCACAUGUUUGCAGGGGUAUGGUUCAUGCAUUACCAUCUUGUUGAUUUAGCAAAGAACUAAUUGAAGUAUAGAACAAAAUAUGAAUGAAGGGAUAAUUUAAUUGAUUAACAAAGCAGCCCUUAUAUACAAGUCCCAAGUAACAACCUUAACAAUAAAUAAAUUCAAAUUGCUACUAACAAGCUAACAACUCCUCCUCCUACUAACAAGCUAACAAAUCCCCCUAAGACUUAGUCUUAUUAUUUUAAAAAUAGCUGCAGCCUUGAGAUACUAACAUUCUCCUCCUAACUCAAGUACUGCAGACACCAAAUUUAUUCUUAAGAAAUUCAAAAUGACUAAUAUGAAAAAUGUAGUAAAAUAUCCGUCAUCUGAUCUCUGAAAACCAGUUUCUUCAAUAUUCGCUUUUUAUGAAUUCCUUCUCGACUAGUGUAGCUUCAAGAGUUGCCUCUGAUUGUUUCCAAGCAUGCAAUGCCAUCUAAAUCAAAAUUCCAUAAUUCAAAAUCAUCACAAGUUGCUCUAGAAAAGUCAUGAGAGUGGCCAGAGUGCUUUCCCUUCUUCUAAGAUCUUGUGUUGUCACUAUACUUGCGAUUAAUAUGAUUUAUAGUUUGAUUAACCAAUCUUCUCGUAACUAAUAAUUCAUUUUUCAAUUUUGUAUUUUGCAUUGAAAGCUUAAUCACCUUACCAACUAAAUUCUUAAACUCAACAACAUCUACAGAUGUCAAUUCUUUCACAUAUGAAGCUUCUUUAGUCGGCUUUUGAUUUUGGAAACAUAACCCACUAUUCUCUUCUAAAGUUGCACAUUACGCUUGAUCUCCUGAGAUAAAUUCUUUUUUCGUGGCUCCUCAGCAUGUUCUUCAGAUAUUUCAUGUGCAAAAGAUGAUAGUUUAUCAGAGAGAGAUGUCACCUGCUACUCCAAAAGAGUUACAUUUGCAUACAACUCCUCAUUCUCAAAACACUUGAUUUGCAGUUGUUCUUGCACGAUAGGAUUAUCUUCCUGACACUUGGAUGCCACUUGCUCCUCCUCUAAUGGAUUCAAUGAGAACCUCUUCUUCUGUAUCUUGAUCCUAAACAAUUCAUUGCCACUAGAGUCAAGGAUCAGACACGUUCCCUCUUCGAACAUCACAUUAAAUCUCUUCUCUACCAAUUGCCCCACACUCAACAAGUUUUGAUCAAUCUCAGGUACAAACAGAACAUCUGAAAUCAACUUAGUUCCAGCACAGCUCUCUAUUGCUACUGUGCCUCUUCCCUUUACUUCUAGGUAUUCUCCAUUUCCUAUCCUUACUUUCGAUUUAAAUGACCUGUCAAGAUCUUUAAACAACUUCCCAUCAUAAGUCAUGUGGUUGGUACAACCACUAUCAACUAACCAACUGUCACAUAAAAUGCUUGAUGAGAAGCAAGAGACGACAAACAAAUGGUCAUCCUCUUCUUUAACUACAGCAUGUGCUCCACUUUGCUGCUGAUUUUUUAAUUCCUUACAGAACCUCUCAAUGUGCCCCAUCGAGUUACACUUUUUGCAUUUUACAUAUGGCAUUCUCCAACACCUGAAAUGAGGAUGAUUCUCUUUUCCACAAAACUUACAUGAAGAAUAUUUGUGAAAAUUUCCAGUACCAUUACCUUUUGCAGCAGUUUCUGAACGACUACCACUAUUGCAAUCACUAUUCUUCCAAUUCCACUUCUGUUCCUCUCCUUUUUCGCCUUGCUACAUCUUAGCCUUUAAUGCUCCUUCUAUGCUUCUUUCUAUGCUUCCUUCCUGCCUCAUUAGCCUCAUUUGCUCUUGUGCUUGUAAAGCACUAAUCAACUCAACUACUCUCAAUUGAGUCAAGUCCUUAGUGUUCUCAAAAGAGGCAAUUGUUGCUUCAUAUUUCUCAGGCACGGAGACAAGUAUCUUCUGCAUCAGUCUAGAAUCAGAGAGAUCAGCCCCAAGAACUCUUACCUUGUUAGAAAUAUCUAUCAACUUGUCUGAGUAUUCUUUGAUUGACUCAGACUCCUUCAUUUGUAGCCUCUCGAAUUCUCUGAUCAAGUUCAACACCUUCAUGCUCUUGAUCCUCUCAUCUCCUUGAUACUCAGCUUUGAAGUAGUCCCAUAUUUCCUUCGCUGAUCCAAAAGCCAUAAUUCUAUUGAAUGUGGCUGGCGAAACUGAAGCAUAAAGACAAGACCUUGCCUUAGCCUUCCUGGUGGUUCUCUCCUUAUGCAUUUUGAUCUGAUUCAUAGUUGGAUUAUUAGAAAGUGGAGUCACCUCAUAGUCUUCCUCAAUAGCUUCCCAAUAAUCACAACCCUCCAUGUAUGCUUGCAUUCUCACGGCCCAUGCUUGAUAAUUCUCUCCAUAAAACACAGGUGGGGCUAAGAUGGACAGGUUACUCGAUCCCGAUUCCAUUUUCCUCAAAAAAAAAACCUCACAAGUGUAUCUCUCAAAAUUUUUUUCUCAGAACUCUCACAAAACUUUUCUCACAAGUCCUUCAAGAAAAAUGGCUCUAAUACCACUGUUGAUUUAGCAAAGAACUAAUUGAAGUAUAGAACAAAAUAUAAAUGAAGGGAUAAUUUAAUUGAUUAACAAAGCAGCCCUUAUAUACAAGUCCCAAGUAACAACCUCAACAAGAAAUAAAUUCAAAUUGCUACUAACAAGCUAACAACUCCUUCUCCUACUAACAAGCUAACAAAUCCCCUUAAGACUUAGUCUUAUUAUUUUAAAAAUAGUUGCAGCCUUGAGAUACUAACACAUCUAGAAGUGCACACCAGCUGGGGCUUGAAGAUGGCUUGGAUUGUCUUGGAUGGUGAACUUCCUACUUAGAAAUUGUUGCCUCCACCAAUAGAUCUUCCUAAAUGUUGAUCGAUAUGACACUUCUUGUGUUCAUUUUGGCCAAAAACCUGCCUGAACUUUUUUUUUAAUUUUAACCGUUUUGAUUUGUUGACUUUUUUUUUCUUUUUUUUUUGGCAUUAGCCUAUCAAUGGUCCAAAUUUGUUUUCUUGAUUCUUGCGAAGUUAGGACAAUAAGCAAGCAAUUUAUUUUGUAACAAGCCUCUGAAGCAUAUUUGUACAAUUUGCAACUUCUCCAUACUAAAUUUAUUGCUUUAUUUUCAUUAAAAUACCAUUUCCCUAACUGAUCAGCUCAACCUAAAUCAUACCAACUUAGCUAGAUAGCUAUAAUCAUCUUUUAGAAUCUUGGUUAAUAACAAUAAUAUGUUGUGGUCUCAUAAAAAAACCAUUUCAUUAUAGAAUUUUUCCAUGCAUUUUUACAGGUUUCCAAGUAAUCUCAUAUAUUGAUUACAUUAAAAUUUAAUAAUGUUCAGUGAAGCGUUCAACUUAGCUGAAGUUGUUAACACUUUUUCCAAGCUUUGCAAGAAUUCUGAACAUAGGAAGUUGUAAUGAAAUUCAAAAUUAAUCUAUCUCAGCGUAGCCUUACUUGAUUCCACUAUUAAAUCUCACAAUAUAAUAAUUUAAGUCUAAUUUAUUCUAAUCCAUGUAUAAUUGCAGCAUUUUUCAAGUGUUCGGAACAUUUUCAAAUAUAUAUAAGGUUUCAAUAGUUGUAAAUAAAAAGUUAUAUAACAAAAGUUGUCACUAUUUGUAGUGAUUAGUUAUGUCUCUGAAAUUCAAAAAUUAUGUCACUUUAUUAUUAACAAAUAGUUAUAAUUAUUCAAGUAAACAUCUCGAAGUUCGUUUGCAAGUAAUUCUUUAACACACCAUAAUAUAACUGGACGCGAAUAGAACCUUAAAGAAAGUGACAUUAAUACACGCAUUAAAAGUUUCGUUAAUUUCUCAUAAGUUUAUUUUAUCUCUAUACACCAACAUUAAAUACGCUUAGAACGAACUCUUCCUUAAUAUAAAAAACCAAUUCCUACGAAAAGUUGAAAAAAAUCACUCAAAGAUGAAAGAUAAAACAUAUAAAAUGUUUUUCACAAAAUGAACUCAAUUGUGUGCUCUAAGCUUUACACAAAUCCCAUGAAUGGUAAUUUAUAAGCUUACAAGACUUAACUCUAACUAAAAGAUAAGUAGGAUAAUAAUAUAACUUACUUAUUGGUUUUUCACUAUUUCAAUUACCAAUAAGAUGACCUUCAAUUAUCAUCAAAAUAAUUUAUUAUAAUAAUGAAUAAUCUUCACUAAUCUUGGAAAGCCACAAAAAAUUUAGAAAGCCACAAAAAAAGUAAUGCACACAAUGUGUUUGAAUAAAUGCUCACAAAUAUAUUCUUUAUCUCAACAAUAAAGUACAAUAGGAUGAUUACAAAUGUGGGGGGCCUUUAUUUAAAGUUAAGCUCCCCCAGAUCCUACGGUACAAAUUGAAUUAUAUCAAUGGCUAAAGCUAGUGCCUAUCUACAAUAUAAAAGUUCUAAGGGAUUUAAACUCUAUACAAUAUUAUCUUUUAGGAUUUACAAUAAUUAUUCCGGUAAUCUUAGUUUUACUAGAGUGUUUCAUAGGGCCACACAGGCUUCAAGUAAAUGGGUUUCUCUUUGGGUUCCAUGAAUUGGGCCAAUUCAAGCGGGUCAAAUAAGCCUCAUUUAAUUAGUUGACCUCUAUUGGACGCUCUUUGUACACUAGUCACAGGCUUUUAGUCACAGGCUUUGAUUUGCGGCCCCUAACAUUCUCCCCUAAUCAUUCUUACAAAACCUUCGUCAUGUUCACAGGAUGACAUUAGUUCCCAACUAGUCUUUCUGUCAUGUAGUUCCUUCCCUCGAAACAUUUACCUCAGCUUUUGUCUCAUCUGUCGCCUAAUUCAAACAGUUUCUCUUUUUGGUACAUCUUAUUCGCAAGAUCCUACCACUCUUACUUGCCCUAAUUAUGACUUGCUUCGAUCGAAAUCCUCUUUAUCCUUACAAAUAAGCUUAAGCUUACCCACAUUGAACAUUGAGUUAACCUUAAGUAUUCCCACCAACUCUAGUUUGUAUGCCUCUCGGUUUACCUGCUUUAAAACUCUGAAAAAGCCCCUGUGUCUUUGCCAAACCAAUGAUAAAUUAUAAUAUAAAACACUAGAUAAGUGUUUGAGAUUUACCUUACUCGUAGAAUUUACUUGAUCUGACUGUCUAGUUUGCAUCAUUACUUUUUCCCAUAAAGUCUGAUGCACAACCCACUUCCCUCAUAAGUGGUAGCCCCACUAAUAAAUUAACAAGUUUCACAUUGAUUUGUCACUCCUCUAGUAUUUCUAAAUGGGUCUCCUUAGCAUUCCAAUAUAAAAAGUCAACAUUCUUACCAUAAUGAACAUCACCGGCUAGUUGGAUUGCCGAUAAUACAUUGAUUCCACCUUUCAUGUCUCGACUCACCAGCACAACGCACUAUUGUUUUUGAGUAUCCAAGAUGCAUAUACAACUGACAAAAGAAGCCAACAGAUCAUUAAUCUUGUCAAGGAAACUCAAGCCAAGAACAAAUUCUUAGUUAUCCAAAUGAAUUACCUCAAAGUCUUCCUUGCAUUUUCAUUAAUCGAUCUGUAGUUCGACUUCUUAUACCACUUUAGUGGGGUUUGUAACGUGAACAUGGAUGGGAUCAAACUCAGUGCUAGAAGGAUCAGUGUUACAUGGAUACGACAUGCUCGUCCACACUCACCGCACUAAUGGUUAACCAAUGAGGUAAACAAAGGGAAGAAGAUGGUGGUAGAAUGGAAGAGAAUGAAGUGAAGGUUAGGAAUGGCUUCAAUUUUUGAAAGAGUUAAGAAAUCAUAAAGGAGUGCCUACGUGAGUGUGUAUGAGUUGUUUGCAUAGCCCUUUUAUAGUGGCGGACAAGCUUGGAUACAUGUCUUAAGGUUACUGAUGCAGAAAUCUGAUUUGAUGCUGUUGGAAGUGACAAUGAUGUUACAUCCUAAGAUGAGACGUUUUAGGAUGAUUAACAAUCAAUUACUUUGAGCCUCCACAUGGCCCUCACAUGGUCUUAGAGGAGUUGUCUCUUUCUAAAUUUCAUUGAGUUGAGGUUCGCAAACUAAACCCCAAGUUUGCAGUGUAGUUAAUUCUAUUAAGAGACACAUGUUUAACUCACUAUGAAUGCACUUUGAGGUUCACAAGCUACACUGUAAGAUCUAUGAGACUCGUUACACAAGGUAUAACAAUAUGUAAUGCUUAUAAAUACAUUUUCAUAAAAUAAAGAUUUUUUAUUUUUUUUAUUUUUUUUAUUUUGAGUUAUAUCAUAAAAAUAUAUUAAUUAUUAAUUCCUAUUAUGACUAUUCAAUUACAAAUUUUGAUUUUCAGGGCUUAGGUCAGAUUUAUCUUGAGCUCGGUCUAGAUCGAUCUCAGACUUGAGCUUGGGUUCUGUCGAGUUCGGAUUUUCUCGGGCUUGAAAUUUUUCAAACUCAGAUCGUUACGGCCUUGGAUCGGCACUAGCGAGCUUUCGAACUCGGGCUUGUUUUGCCAGCUCUAGUGAAACUAAAAGAAGGAUUUCAAAAAUUUUAAUGUAUUUUUUUAAUUAAUUUUUAUUUUUUAAUAUAAUUUAGACAACUUUUAAAAUUCGUUCAUAAAGUUUUUUUUAAUUCCAGAAUAAUUAUUUUUUGUGGCCAAAACAAGCAAAAAAGUUUGUAAACUAAGUGGUCCGCUUCCAAGAUAUUUGGAAGAUCCUUGCAUUUAUACUGUCCAUUUAUUUCACCACACUCCGUUCUUCCAUGGAUACCACCAAGUGCAUGACUUCAUCCUCUUCCCUCACACUCAAAGCCCACAUAAAAAAUGCAACCAUAAUCUCCAAGUCUCCAAAUCUUCACCAAAAAAGAGAGAUAUUUUGCCUCAAUAUCAAGAUGUAUGUAUGACAUUAACUUUCUUUUUGGUACCUUUUCAUUUAAAGUUUCCUAUAUAUAUGAUCAUCUGUUUCCUUAUCCAUGUUUUGGGGGUUGGUUUUAGCAGCACGAAACAUCCAUAUGGUUGUCAAUAUCUGCAAAAGAAGAAAAACCCAUGGAGGACUCACAAAAUUUAUGUGACAAAAGAGGGAGAAAGUGUUAUCAAUGAAGCUGGAAAAAAAGGAACCAUAGCAGGAGCUGUUGCUCUUAUUGUUGGCACUGGUAUUGGUUCUGGGAUUCUUGCACUCCCACAGAAGGCCUCUCCUGCUGUAAAUUGCUUUCAAUAGAUAUUGAGUUUUUUUUUACCUUUUGGUGACUGGGUAAUUAAUGAAGUUUUAAACUUCUUUUUACACUGCAGGGUGUGGUUCCAAGUUCAAUAUCCUUGGUAGUUUGCUGGGCGUUUUUGCUAAUUGAAGCACUUUUACUCAUUGAAAUAAAUGUUGGUUUACAAAGGAAGAGGAAGAAGGAGGAGGAGGAAGAAGAGGGUGAAUUGGAGGUCAUUUCCAUAAGGACAAUGGCACAAGAGACACUUGGUGAUUGGGGUGGAAAUUUGGCCACUGUUAGCUAUGUUUUCUUGGGUUACACUUCAAUGAUUGCCUAUAGUUCCAAGUCUGGAGAGAUCCUUUUCCAUUUGAUCAAUUUUCCUGAACCAGCUUCCGGUUUCCUAUUCACUGCACUUUUCACAUUUCUCAUCUCUGUUGGUGGAACACAAGUCACUGAUCAAGUGAACCAAUGGCUCACUGUUUCCAUGAUAGGUAUAAUUUUGGACAAGUUAUUUACACCCGAGUCUGAGUAUCAUAGAUAAAUUCUAUCUCGAUUAACCAUGGGUGGUUUUAUGUGAACAGGCUUAUUAAUGGCAAUUGAAGUUGUAGCAGUUAUGUUAGGAGGAUGGUCAGGCCUGGAGGGAAAUGGUGAUUGGGGGAAAGUUCCAGCAACCAUUCCUGUCAUGAUAUUUUCAUUGGUAUACCAUGAUGUUGCACCGGGUAAAAGAAACACACUAUUGUUUUCAAUAUGAAGCUUCAUAUUUUUCUAAUCAUGGGGUUAUGAUAUCUCUUGGUUAUUGCAGUCCUUUGUGCUUAUUUAGGUAGUGACCUUAUUCGAUUAAGGGCUUCGGUUUUGCUUGGCAGCCUUGUUCCCUUGUUGGCAUUGCUUGUUUGGGAUGCUAUUGCACUUGGCAUUUCAACACAAACUGACCAAGUUGUUGAUCCUGUUGAGCUGCUUAUGGGGUAUGUCAAAUACAUAGAUUCUACAUGUCACAUUUGCAAAAUCCCCUCGGUAGAAGAACAUUAUGUUAGGUACAUUUUUUACAUCUCGAAAUGUGGCAUCGUAACUCUGUAAAUAUAAGGAAAAACUUCAACACUAGAACCCAAGUUUUACCCAUUUGUAGAGGCAGCUUCAAUAUCAGGUAGGCCUAGAAGGAAAUGAGCAUUACCCUCACGCAUAACUUACAUACCAAGGUUAGGGCAGUUAAUAAUAGUAGCCUAGGUAUAAUGAACGAUCCAACGAGCAUAUAGUUAUAUUCAACACUCCUCCAAAAAAUAGAAUUGGAGCUGAAACCAAAGCCUAUUUGUUGUAAAACCUAAAACUUGAGCAUAGAUGUUGAACUUUCUCCAAUGGGAUUCAUAUAGGAUUAUUGGGGGAUGAUUCAUAUAGUCAGAUAAGUUAACAUGAGUUGGUACCCUGAAUUUAAUGUUUUCCCCCCUUGUUUCAGGGUAAAAUGGAGUGGAGUUUCAUUUAUGGUAGAAGCAUUUUCACUUCUGGCCGUGGGAACAUCAAUGAUUGGCACUCUCCUCAGUUUUUCAGAGUUCUUUAAGGAGCAGCUUAAGAACCUGUCAUGGCAUUCUUCUUCGGUACAGGUUGCCCCAACUCUUCAUAUUUCUGAAAGCAAAUACCCUGUAUCCGACACUUACGCUGUAAAGACUCUCCCUCUCCCUCUCCCUCCAGCUCUUUUAUUUGAACCGAGAGAUGAGCAGACGAGAGGUGAAGGGAGAGGUAAACCUCCCCCUCUUAGUUUACAACCUGUUUAUCACAUUCAACUUACUGUAUAAUUGUUAAAACCAUGCAGAUAAAGGCAUUGGCAUUGGAUGACCUACAGCAGGAACCAGACAAACUGACAAAUUGGUGGGGAAGAAAUAAAACCGGGUUCACAGCAAUGGCAAUGGUGGUAACUCCAACACUAAUAGUUUCAACAACAGUUCCAGAAGCAUUCUCUGCUGCUACAGAUAUUGCAGUAAGUUAAAAGCGAAGCCAUAAAUGAAUUAAAGGUGUUAAGGAUGUAGAACUUGAAGCACUAAAUUUUCAUAACUUUGAUGCAGGGGGGUUAUUGCAUGACUAUGCUUUAUGGAGUUCUUCCACCAGCGAUGGCUUGGGCCAUGGGGAACAGAGAAGGUGAGGGUUCUAACCAGAAGGGAUUAACAAUGGCUUGGCCUGCAAUUUGUGGAGUUGGAUUAUUUGCCUGUGGCUUAGUGGUGGAGCAAAUUUUACAGGAUUUAUUGGCAUUGCAAUUCUGAGAAAAAGGAUAAACAUGUCUGUAUUUAACUAUUAUUCCAGAAACUAAAUUAGCAAAAUUUGAGGUUGAGAUUAGGAGAGAGACAAAAUGAAUCCAUUAAACAAUAUUGAGCUGAGAUCAAGACUCAUCAAGAAUUCAAAUCAAGUUCCAAGAAAUACUAAGAGAAACCAUUUCUAGAAGGCACACAUUGGAGUUUAUUUCAGAACAGGAACAUGGCACAAACAAAAAUAACAACAAAUCAUAAAAUAAUGACAUAAAAUUGUUCCUAAGCAUGAGCUCUGAGUUUUGGGAAUUGAUAGAAUGUUGUAGAAAAUUAAACCAUCAGUCUUCAUGGAAGACCCCCUAGUUCCUCACAGUUGUCACAUUCUUCAAAAGCAUCUGUACAACAUCAUGAGAUAUCCUUGCAGCUUCGUUUUUCAAGUGAUUGAUCUUUGCAUCUGUUUCAGUCUCGAGCCGCUUCACAUUAGCCCCCGAGUAUCCGCUACUCUGAUAAUCCACAAACAUGGUUAAUGGUUUAGCUCAUAUUAUAAUCAAGGAUAACUGGGUCUCGAAGCAAGUCUAUCGCCUACAGUUCAAUCACAUGAUAAGAUUUCAGAUACCAUGGAAAUGGCAAAAUAGCAUCUCACUAAAUAAGAACAUGAAUUCCAGAAAACUUGCAGAAACUAUUUAACCGUCUGAGAGAUUCAGUAAAUGGAAGCCAAGAAAGGGACAGUUGCUCAUAUCUAAGAUUUUCAGCAUACUGCAGUUAUUACAACAGGAAAAAGAAAUUAUGAAUUCAUACCUCCGCCACCUUCUUCUUGAACUCAUACUCUACUUGAGCACGAUAUUCAGCAAUCUCUUUCUCUGCCUGUUCCUUGGCCUGUUUCAGUCUAGCCAUUUUUGCUGAAAAAAAGAAACAUAUGUGAAUUGACAUCUAGUCCUUCCAAAAACAAAGGCAACAACUACCUCUUAGAACAGCAACCAUGAAAGUCAAAUCAAGUUCUCUUCCACGUUUCCACAAGUCCACACAUGCGCUUGCAUGUUUACAUAAUUAAAUUGUUUAACCAAGUCUCCUUAUCAAGUGAAAUCAAGUACGCAAAAAAUGUUCUAUAAAUCUUCAAUAUAUCAUCUAAACAAAUAAAGGGAAUCAACAUAGAAACUAACAUCUUAUUAUUCUUGACCUAUUUACAAGCCAAGGUGUGAGAAAAAUAAAAAUGAGACUAGUGCUAACCAUUUCUUGCAGCAUUGACAAUGUGCUGAGCAUCUUGUUCUGCAGCUAGCAGCUGUUGAAUACCGUUCUGGCCCCUGUUGGCUUCCAUAUUUUCUGAAUUUUGUUACAGUUACUCUAAAAUUAAGAUUCCUUUUCUUUAGUACUCUAGUAAUUGAAUACAUUGGAAUAAAAAACAGUCACACAAUAAACAGAACAAAAUCCAUCGGAACACUAGAAGGCCAAGCAAUAACUUUAGUUCAAUAGUGGUCAACCAUGAUACGAUAAUGUUAAGUUUAAUUUGCAUCAAUUAACAUAUAGCAUGUAGUAAGACAAACUCAAGAUCAGUAUAUUUACUACAAGUAAGAUCAACAAGCAUUCAUUGAAUCAAUUUUACUACAUUAACAUUCACAAGGAUUUUAAACCAUUCCUCCCCAGUCCCCAUUGAUAUCCCCAGCUCAAAAGUCAUCAAAACUUCAAUUUCCCCUUUCUAGAUCCAUAGUAAAAUUAAAACUCAAAGAGACUACUAAGAAUACAAGGACCUCAUUUUCAUGUCUAGCAUACAUUUCAGUCUAAGCCAAGUUCAACAUCCAAAUCCUUUGGUACAUCAAACUUUUAUGGCUAACAUGAUUUGAUCACCAAGAUAAUUUACAACAAUGCCACCAACUAUGAAAGCCAACUCUAUAACUCAAUAUCAGCAAUCUCCUUCAAAAAUUCUCAAAAACCCAUGAAAUCUAGGUCCAUAAAAAGGCAGACAACAAUGUACCCACAAAAAAAAAAUCUAAAUCUAAGUGAAUUACAACUAUCGAUAAACAGAAUAGUCAGAUCAGAGCGGAAAAAAUAAAGGUAGAGCAUUUAGAUUUAUAUAAUUUUCAAAUUAAAUAAAGAUCUUAUUUUUAAUAAUACAAUUAAAUUGUUUGAGUUAAAAAAAGUAGUGAUCUGGACAGUUAAACAAUAUUAAUUAUGGAAAUAGAGAAAAAAUUAUUGAAAAUAUGAAGAAAAUGUAAGGAAAAGUAAAGAGAAAGAUUGAGAGAUUAAGAGAAGACGUACCAGGAGAAUAGGUGUUUUUGUGAUUUGAGAUUUAAGGAGAAAAUUUAGGCACCAACAAUUGCUGCUUAUUUAAAAGAGUUUCAAGGGAAAAAAAUUGAAAUAAUUGAAUUCCUCAAAUGACCACUCUACCCUUAUUUGUCUUUAUAAAAAAUAUAUAUAUCAUUAAAAUAAUAAAUAUUAUAUUAUAUUUAUUAAAUUUAUUUUUAGAAUUUUAAAAAUGAGUAUAUCUAUAAUUCAUCAUACAUUGCAUUUACAGAUAAGCUGUAGUUUUCAGGUGAUCCCUCUUGAAGAGAAUGCACUCGGGUGGCCUAAUAGAGAGUCCAAUCAAGUGGUUUAAGACGAACGAUCCCUUCUAUAGUGAUAUAAGGCAUGCGGAUAAUCGAUCACCGAAUGAUCAUUCUGACAGUAUAAGACAAAGAGUCAUUCGUAUGUGCUUUUCUAAUUACUUCUCAUAUUGUCACGUGUCUCAAUCGAAGUAGAAUUAUAUCAGUGAUAAACCAUAAAAAAAUUUGUGCAUGUAUAUGUUUGAUCAUAUUUAUAUUUGUUUAGUUGUACUCAUCUAUUUUUUAACAAAUUAAAAUAAUUAUUUUUUAAAUUAAUUUUUAAAAGAAUUUAAGCAUCAUAGAAAAUAAAAUUUUUAGAUAAUAUAUCCAGUCAAUUUAAAACAUUGCAAGCAGGACGAGGGUUAUUGACUAAUUAAAUCCAAUUAUUUGUAUAUUAAAACAUCAAUAACACUCAAACUUAGAGACAUAUUUAAAUGACAUAAUUAUUUAUUUGACUCUUCAAUUUUACAAAAAAUAUUAUUUUAGUCCUAUAUUUAUUUUUUUUUCUUUUAACCUCUAAACUUGUUUUGUUUGUCAAACCACCUCAAAAUAGAUGAAAAAAUUAACGUAUAUUAACAUUGUUGAUGUAUACACGAGUAUUGACAUAUCAUCAAUUAAUUAAAUUUUUAAAUUUAAAAUUUAUAAAAAUAUUUUUUGAUGUUUUUUAUAUUUAAAUAACUAAUUUAUUGUUAACAUAACAUACAUAUGGAUGUCACGUCACUAAAAUUAACAGGCAUUAACUUUUCUAUCUAUUUUAGAACGAUUGGACAAACAAUGUAAGUUUAACAACUAAAAAAACGAAAAAUUAAAUAAAUGACUAAAAUAUUUCCUUUAUAAAAUUGAAGGACCAAAUAAAUUAUUAUACCUAUUUAAAUAUAGAUAUAUGAUACGUGUACCAUAGAACAAAUUCGAUGUCUUCUUGCACGGGACACCCGCAAGAAGUUUCAUACUGCAAAAAGUUUAAAUGAUUAUUUUGUCAUUUUCUAAAAUAAAAUAAUAAAUAAAUAAAUAACCGUAUAACAGGGACUAUUGUGACUUUUGAACUCAUUCAAGAUAUAAGAAAAAAUUAAGUGAAAAUAAUAUUUAUAAAAAAUUGUAUUAUAAAUAAAUGAAGUUUUGUUUGGAAAAAGAAAUUCCUUUUUAUUGUUUUCUAAAUUGUAAUUGAUUUUAAUAAAUUUAUAUAAAAAUAUAAAAAAUAAUACAAUUUUAUUUUGUAAAUUAAAUAAACUUUUAAUUAUUUUUCAACUUAAUUGAACCAACCAAUUAAACCCGUUUUUAAUAUAAUAACUAAUUUAAUCCUCCAACUUUAAAAAAAAUUACUUUUUCAUCCCUUUCAAUUCUUAAACUAAAUGAAAAAAUAUAAUCUCUAUUCACUUUGUUGACGUGACAUAUCCAUUUUUCCAAUUCAUUUUCUGGUUUUUCUUGGUUUUUUACUGGUUCAAACCAAUUCUUAAACAAUUGAAUGAUUCCCAAUUCAGACCGAUUUCUGGUUCAACCGGUUGGUCCGGUCUAAUUUUACAACACCGUUUUUAACAAUAAAUCCCAGCAAGAAGCUUAGCUUCCACCAGCUAUGGAAGGCAUUCCUAAUUGAAUCAACAAAAGGUGACAGUUUCUACAAACAUUAACAUAAAAUAGAUUAUACAACAAAUCAUUCACUACAUCAAUGACUUGAUAUCAUGAGCAACAACAUCAAUCCUAUUCCUAUAACAAUCAAAUAUAUAGUUUUUGCCACAAUACAGUUAUUAGAAUUCGAUUCUUGCAAAAUAUUAUUCAAUUUUACUUCUUUGUAUUUCAUUUUUGUACAAUUCUGCGGUCAAGGUACACGGAUUCGGCGCCUAAAACAAAUGCCAUCAGUAAUCUUCUUCAUCGACACAAGCUGAAAGGGGGUAAUUCAUAUUAGGCAAUGAUAAUAACGAAUUACGCAAUGCAAAAACAAGUAUAUAAAACAAACAGGUAUAACAAGAGCUACGAAUGUCUCAAAAGCAAUUCCAGAAACCAUUGAAGAUUGAAUGAAUAGCUGAUAUAGUAAGAAUGUAUGACAAAGGUCAUCACUAGAAGUCGGUUGUGCUUAAACGGAAGCAAAACUAUGGUGUCUUUUGGGUUUCUUGUCUUUUGGGUUUCUUGUUUUUUAAGGCAAAUAUAAAACGGCUUCACUUGUGUGUGCUCAGUUUGACAAGUGUACUGAAAGAAGAAACGGGUGGCUUUUUCCAGUAUCUUUGCUUCUUGGCUAAGCUCACUAAACAAAAAACACAAAGGAAAAACGAACAUGGGAACUUGAAAAGUUCAAUUCUUCAAAGUUCAAAAAGCUUAUAUUUGUUCUACAUUAGCCUUUAAAAGGUGGGAAUAAAAGGGUUUGCUGUGCAUGCAUAUAUGUCCAUGGCAAGCAUCAACUCCGGAAGAGGAUUGGAAAGAAAAAAAAAUUGAAAGCUUCGCUAGAAAUUCCAUCCUCCAAAGGCUCAAAAGUCAAGUAGAACAACUCCCAAGAGAAACAUCAAAAGAAAAAUAAAGAUAGUUGUUAAGAACAUCACAAUCCCAAGUGUUUUCCAAUUCAUAUAUUUUCAGAAAAUGAAGAGAGCUACCAGAUUACCAUCAUAGAUAAAUAUCCUCUUGAACUUUUUAUCAUCAAAUCUCAUUAUAAACAUCACCAGUCAAGACUUCAUCUAAAUUUCAAAAACUAAAGAAGUGGCAUUUUGUCCUAUACUACAUGUCAGAUUCCAUCCCCCCCCCCUUCCACUAAAAAAAUAGGCAAAUUAAUCGUUGUAUAUUAGACCAAAGAGCAAACUGAUGCUUUCUGUUGAAAAGUUCAUCCAUUUCUACUGUUAAAAAUUGGCAUGGUGGACAGAAUAACCAAACAGUGACAAAUGGCAUGCCACGUGUACUUUAUGCUAACGUAAAUAUUAACUUUUCACCUCUAAACUUCAUUAUCCUUUGCAAAUUUGUUUAUCUGUAUAUCAAAGACAUUAGAGCUCUUAGACUUCUAAAUACUAACUUUAUAUCUCCGAUUUUAGGAUGAAAAUAGGGGUCUCGUUGUCUGUUCAAUUCAGUCAUCUUUUUUAAUCAAUAAUUCAAGGUUGAUGUUUGAACCAAACACGACUCAAAUUUCACCUGUUCGAUCAUACAAGGCUUGCACUAUUAUGAUGCUAAAUCAAACAACCAAAGCCAUCUUGCUUUCGCAGAAUCACUAAAACAUGAACACAGAGAUUAUUUAACACACUCAUCCAGGAAUUAAGCUGACAAAAUAUGAUCCAUCAAUCUAUUUGAGUGACUGAGCGAUUUAAUCAAGUAAUAUGUCAAGAAAUUGAGGUAAAUUUGUUAAGCAUUACUCAAAUCAAUUUGUGCUGAAUUGCUAAGUUGGAAUUAUUAAAUGAAUAACCUCAUAAAGCACAACCUAACUUUUCAAAACCACUCAAGCAAAGCACAAAAAUAAAAGCUUGACCAUUCAACAUAUAAACUUAAAAAAAAAAAAAAUCAAGCAAAAAAGUGAAAUGCUCUGAAUUCAAAGACCCCAUUUCCAAUGAACUAAAUGAAACACUAAAAUUACAUAAAAUUAAAAAUUCACGUAAAGAAACAAAAAUAAACCACAAAAUUGCAACAAGGAGAUAUCAAAAUCGAGUAAACACAAAAAACCCAAGUCUAUAAACACCAUAAACCAACAUAAAAUCAAAAACUCACACCAAAAAACCUAAUCUUUCAACAAUUUUUUACUGGAAAAAGAAAGUCAAAAGGGAGAAUUUAGAGUUACCUCCACAGCAGAAGCAACAGUAGCAGCAAGAAAGGACCAUGAAAAUCUCUCUACAGAUCAAAAUGAAGCUAGCACAACACUUGGAAGGAGCAGAUUUCGAGUGGGCAGCUUCUUGAUCCUCAUUUAAGAGAUUUUGUUGGUUGCUUGGAAUCCUCGGGGAAGAAGAAGAAGAUUGUUUCUCUGAUUUCAUUCGAUGGAGGUUCCAUUCUAGUUUUCUUAAAUAAGCGAUUUUGAAUGAAUCCCUUAGUCUAACUGAUGGCCAUAGAUGCAUCUCUCACUGCUUCUUUGUUCUUUUGAUUGAAGCUUCUGACAAUGAAACAAGAAGAGGAAGAGGAACGGAAAAAAGCGAGUAUAGCUUUUAGGUGAAAAAUCGAUAAGAUAUUUUUCAUUUUUUUUGGGUAAACUACACCUAAUGCUACUAAACUAUUAGUAUAUUUAAAUUUUGAUCACUUAACUUUAAAAAAUUACAAAAUUUUCAUAAAACUAAGUUUUCAUUUAACUCACUUAACUGUUAAAAUCCUUGUUAUAUGAUCUUCUUUGUUUGCAUCACAUGUACCAACUGAAAACUCUCAUUUCCCUUCUCUUUUGCAAUUUAUUUUUUUUAUAAAACAACUUUAAACGUCAUGAAUUUACAAAAUGCACCAACAGCAAGCAUUCAUUUCCCUUCUUUUUUGUAAUUUGUUUUUUUUAUAAAACAACUUGAAUGUCAUGAAUCUACAAACCAAAGUUCAAAUAAUUUUAUUCUGCAAUCUCUGAAACUAAUAAUCAAAUUGACAUAGAUUUAGAUACUAGUUCACCAUACCAAUCAUUGAACCUUGUUUGGAACUCGUUAGACAGACUUUUCUAAUAAAUAAAAAAACAUAACAGUCUAAUAACUUAAAUAAAAACUUUUAAAUAAUUCAUUGAUUAUUUUAUAAUUUAUUGAAGUUGAAUGAUUAAAAUGUAAAUAUACUAAUUGUUUAUUGAUCUAAGAUGUAAUUUAUUUUUCUUUCUUCUUUUUUUUAUUUGCUUUCGUUUUAAUUUUAGUGUGUUGGAAAAUUUCUAUUGAAAAUUCUCAUUUUGCUAGAGUUAAAGUUAACUUAGUCAAACUUAAAACCAAAAAAUUGCAUAAGGUCGCAUAGCUUACUCUUACCAAACUAAAAGUCUACCAACGUGACCUAAAAUAAAGGCUGAUUCCAUAGCAAAAGUUGGGGUGACCAAAAUCAAUUUUUUAAGGCUUGGUGGUAGGCUUCUUACAGUCGUGUCAAGCUUCUAUAUUCCUCAUGCUUGAUGUAGUGUUCGAUUCUUUUUUGACAUUUGCUGGUGAUUACGAUUUACUGUUUUUUGUCUUUGGUUUUGUUUUGCUUCAUGAUUGGACUUUGUUUUCUUAUACUAAACAUUUGGCUGGGCUUUUUGCUUGGUUAUUAUUAAUUAAAUUUAUUUGUUGAAAAAAUAUUUAUGUAACUCUAAUACCAAUUAAAUUAGAUUAUUUUUUUCUGCGGAUAUUAGUUUAAAUAUAUAUUAAAUUGUAAUGGGAGUAAAUGACUACUAGUGGAAUAAAUAAAAAUGGACAUCAAAAGUUUAUAUACACAAUUUGAAAACUCUUUAUGUAAACGGAGUCUUACUCAAAAAGUAAAACAUUAUUUAAGUAUAACUCAUUCACUAAGAUACAAUCUCACUCAAAGCUUAAUUGCAAGCUGAAUAACAAAUCUAACUUAUAACAAAUUUGAACAGAAAUAACUUCCUAACUAAACAAAAUAAGCACUCUCUUCAUCUCAUCUUAAAAAGUCGAAAGUACAAGUAUUCAAAUAGGUAUUGUGUACUUUGUAGAAAAGCAAGUAUGACCCGAAUAAAUCUUUGCAGAAUUCUUUGAAAACUUCUUUUUGCUUGAUCUAAUCUUUUCUUUGAUCAUAAUCUUGUGAUUUGCUGAUCAAAAUGUAAACAAAUAAGUCAAUUUAUAAUGUUUUGUCAAUUUUUCUUAUAAUUAACAUUAACAAACGUUUCAAGCAGAGGCAAAGCUAGGGGGCUAGCAGGGGUCCUGGGCUCUGGCUCCUAAAAUGAAAAUUUAUUAUUUAGACCUUUCAAAAUUUUUUAAAAUUUUAAUUUAAUAAAUAUAAAAUUAUAUUUUGACCCCUUAAAAUUAUAAAAAUUCGAUUUAAUUUUUUAAAAAUUAUAAAAAUAUAAACUAUAAAUAAAAUAAAAUUUCAUUCGACCCCUAAAAACUUGUUCUGACUUCACCCCUUAUUUUAAGGUAAAAUACAAUUUUAAAUAAAACUUGAUAGCGAAAGAUUUUAGCCAACAGAUCCGAAUUAAUUAUAAAGAUACCUCUCUGGCAGCUCAUAUUUGGUGUCUUUACACGCAACUCGUAAUGGUGGCACGUUUUAAGGAAUAUAGAUGAUGAAGUUUAUGGCCAAAAACAAGAAAAGCACAAAUAGCUAUUUACACAUCAAAUUGCAUACAAGAAACUGCGUGUAAGAUCUGUAGUAUUUCUUAAAUCAGAGCUAAAACGAAAAAUGUACAAUAAAAUAUACAUCAAUGAUGAAACAGAGAAGGAUUAUUCAUCAAAACCAAUAUAUUUUACAUUAUGGAACUUUUUGAUUUGAAAACCCUUUUCUCUCCCCUGUAAAACCCCCAAAAAAAAGUGUGAUUCAACUAUUGAAAGAUUGAAUUACCUCUCAUGAAAUUGCGUAUCCGAUUUGUAACAGUUGAAAGGUUGAGAAAUGGGGAUUGAAGGAAUCGAAUCCGAGCAUCAACAACAUAGCCGGCGAGUUGGGAGAAGAAGAAGAGACACUUAAAGAAGUUGCAGGGCUUAGAAGGGAAGAGAAAGCGUCGAGGAAGAAGAUGAUGAUGGUGCUGAUAGGUACCAUGUUUUCAAACUUGGGUAUAGUAAUAUGGUAUGAUCAACGAAAUUAUUUAUAUUAUCUCUAGAUUGCACUUUAUUUUUCUAAGUUCUUGGAAUUACGAUAACACUCAAAUUAUGUUUUGCCUUUUCUAUUAAAAGUCAUUUUUUUUAUUGUUAACAAUUAGUUACUGUAUGUCAAAAUGAAGCAUACGUGACAUGUUACGUGUACCUGCUUAGUUAUUUUAUUAGUAACACUAAUUUUUAACAGUAAAAUAGAUGGAAUUGUUAAUAAAAAUAACUAGUUUACUUUUUAAUCUAACAUAUAGAGAUUAAUUUUUUUUUAUUUUUUAAAUAAAAGAAGUAAAAUGUAAUAUGACUCUUAAUAUAUGAAUCUCCAUAAUAUUUUUACCUAAAAAAUGAUAGUUUUGCAAAAUUAUAAAAUUGUCUAGAUUAUAUGUGACAAAUAUGACUAAUCAAAUAAAUUUUUUCGGAGUAACUUAAAAGAAUUUCAAUAAUUAAGGUAAUUCCUAAAUUACAAUAGCUAUCUAAAUAUGUUUGUUUUAAUAUAUAUUUUAUUCUUUACAUGUCACAAAAUAUUAUCUAUUAUACAUAUUAAGUUUUUUAUUAAGUUAAUAUCGUUUAUUAACUGAGUCUUAACUUAAUUUAAAAAUUACCAAAAAAACCUAUUACUUUUAUAAAGUAAUAAAUAUUAAUAUACGAGUAUUUUAUUAAAAGCCCAAAACUUUUAUAAAGUAACAAAUAUUAAUAUGAGGAUAUUUUUAUCUUUUUAUAUUUUUUAAUAAAACGAUAUUAUGGUAGGAUUUGAACUUAAUACAUAUGAUAUUUUUUCCCUCUUUUGAAAAUUGAUUUUAAGAUAAAGUUUUUAUAAAUAUAAUCUAACUAUAUUAUAAAUAUUUUGUUUUUAUUAUCACAUCAACAAUCACAUCAAUUAAAUUGAAAAUGAUAAAAAUUAAUCAAAUAAAAUUAUUUAAAAUUUUAAAAUUAAAGAGAGAAUUGUUUAUUCACCAUUAAAAAAAUACCUAUAUAUAAUCUUUUUAUUUUUUAAAAAAAAUUACAAUUUUCAUAUAUAUUCUUUAACUUAGACAUAAUUUAGUAUGCAUAUAAAUUUAUCUUUAAAAAAUCCAUAUAAACUAAAGUUUUCAAUAUGAAUAUGAAUAGGUUUUUUUUAAAAAAAAUUCACAAAAUAAAAAUAUUACAUUGCUUGUAGGAAUAGCAAACAUGAUGCAAGUCUAGUGGCCUAAAACAUUAUGCAGAGGGGACAAAUUUUGUUGGGAGGAUAAGUUGGAAACAAUAAUGUAAUGUGCAAUUUAAGUUAUGAUUCAAAUUUAACUUUAGUGACAUUGACAUGGCAAAAAUUCUUUUCUAUUAUCUCGAUUGAGUCUUAAUUGGUAUGGAUAUUGUUGUUAAUACAAGAGAACGUGGUUCAAGUGGACUAAAGCGAUUAUCUUCUUAUUUAUAGGUUGGGAGGGAUUAUGGAUAAUUCUAAGUAUUAUCUUAAAAAUAGCAGUUAUGAUUAGAACAUAUAUUAAGAUUAUUCAAAAAAAAAACCUCCUAUUCACAAUUAUUAAUUAAAAUUAGGUAAAUUACACCAAGAAUCACUUAACUUUGGGGUAAAUUAUUAGUCACUCAGGUUUCAAUUUAGUGACUUAGCUUUCAAAAAAUAACAAAACAAUCACCACUAACUAUUUUUCGUUACAUCUAUAACAGAGUUAUCGUUUUCUGUUAUUGACUUAACAGAAAUGUCAUUUUUCAUCUCUGUCUUAUCCCCCUCCCUCUUCCCCACCAUCAUUCUCCCUAUCACAAGCCCUUUCACUUUUUUUGCAGACCUCCCCACCAUUGCCCUCUCCCUCUCUUCCCUUUCUUCCUUCUUCACCAGAAUCCCCAAGAAAAAUGAACCCCAAGAAGGCAACAACAUAAAGUGUAGCCACAAAGAUACUUAAGGGCUUGAACUUGGCCACAAAAACCAAACCUUUACACCAUAUGCACCAUGUUCGCACGCCGAAUGUUACCACAUUUCCAAAUAAAGCCUGAAACGAAAUUGGUCUCAGUUACAAAGCUUCGAUUUGCCAAAAUGACAAAGCUAACUUGGGGAGUUGCAGUUUGCUUACUGAGUAGAUCAUAGAAAUGAGCUCGAUAUCAGGACUCAACAUCAAAGCGUUUAGGUAUCUUUUAAAAUCAAAGUAACCAAUGCAGAUUGAAUGGACCCAAAGAGGCAAUAGAAGGAAACCAACGUUAUCUCCAAUGGAUACCCUUUCAAAAUUGUAGCUUUCAAAUUUACAAAUGGCAUAGCAACAGAGACGAACUUAAAGAUAACAACAAGCAAAAAAGUGAAAGCUGAGAUUAAGUUGGCAAGAGCAGAAGCAAGGGUUGGAGAGUUGUAUCUUACACCAAUUAUUACAAAGUUCAGCAUCAAAGUGAUCUUGCAAAAAACCUAGUUUUAUAACCCAAUUUUUUCACCAAUAAAGGAAUUAUUGAACUCUGUUUAGAUUUAAUUGCAUACCCAGCAAUGCUUAAGCAAAAAAUUUUGCACAAAAAAGAUAGAGUAAUUGGUGGCCGCUUUUUCUUGCAUAUAAGGAAGUUCCAAAAUAGAUAAAUAAGAACCUUGUAAAGAAAAAAGCUGCUAGAAAAAGAAUGAGUGAAGCCAAAGCAUUUAAGUAGAUGACAAUGACAAAGUGGCUCAUUCUUUUGGACAUGGCAGCUUUGCUGAGGAUGAGAGGAAUGAUGGUGAAUAAGGAAGAGGGGGAAGAGGGGGAGAGGGCAAUGGUGGAGAGGUUUGCAAAAAAGUAAAGGAGCUUGUGAUAGGGGAGGGAUGGUGGGGAAGAGAGAGGGGGUGGGAGAGGGAUGAGAAAUGGCAUUUCUGUUAAGUCAAUAAUAGAAAACAAUAGCUCCAUUACAAACGUAACAAAAAACAGUUAGUAGUGACUGUUUUGUUAUUUUUUGAAAGUUGAGUGACUGAAUUGAAAUCUGAGUAACUGUUUUGUCAGCUACCCCAAAGUUGAGUGGCUGUUGGUGUAAUUUACCCUUAAAAUUUUGGUGAAAAAAAGUUCUAUUAAAUUUAUUUUUUUAAACUGUGCUAAUUUCAUUGAUGUGAAAUAUAAUUAUUACGUGAAUAGAACUAUAAGUAUCUUAAUUAUUACUUAAUUAUUAUUAGAGCUAUAUACCAAUUAAAAUUUAAGAUUAGCUUUAUAAAUAGCAUUCAGUAGUUAGACAUAUUCAAUCGAGUAGUAUCUAAGAAAAAUUAUUAGUAGAAAAUUGAAGACUGCAUUAAUAAGUUAGAAUUGUAUAAAAAAUAAGCAUUAAAGCACUGCUCUUCGAAGAAGCAAAAACUCUUAAAACUAUUUUUUUUAUCUAUGUGUUGUUUGUUUAGCGUAAGUGAAAAAUAUUUUGUGGGUUUGUUUUGAAAAAAAAGUCAAAUUUCAACAAUUAAUUUUUAAUCACUAUUAUUAAAUGUGUUGAUUAAUUCAAUAUAAAUAUAUUUCCUAUUUAUCAUAAAUUAUUAUAAUUGAUGUAUGUUGUUUUACCUAAUUUUUUUUCAAAUUAGUGAUAUAGUUUACUUUCUUAUAUAGUUCAAAUUUUGUAUAUUAUUUAAAACUAAAAAAUAUUGUCUUUAUCAAUGAUAGUUAACAAUAAUUUAAAAUACAUUAUUGUAAAAUUAUUUAAAAAUUAAUCAUAUAAAGUCACAUGCAAUAUAUGUCAUAUUAGAAACUAGUAUUAUAAAAUGGGGCAAUAAUUCAAUUAAUUAGAGUCAUAAAUACAAUAUUUUUUUUGAACAAUCUCAUUAUAAGCUCUGAUCAUAUUUGCUCUUUUUGACACAAUGCCGAAAACUACCAAUAGCCUCUCCCAACCAAUAAAUAAGAAGAUAAUGUGCUUUAACGCACUCGAACCCACGUCUUCUUGUAUUGACAACAAUGUCCAUAUCAAUAGAUCUAAGACUUAAUCGACCCAUAAGUACAAGAUUUAGACUCACUUAACAUUCAAACUCUACUCAAUAAUAAUCUAAUUUAAUUUAUUUUUUAAUCUAAUCAUAAUAACUUAUUAAUACAAGAGUGUGACAUGCAUCAUAACUUAUUAAUACAAGUGUGACAUGCAUCAAACCUUUUAGCUCAUCGGUUGGUGAAUGCAUUUUCAUAUGGUAUAAUAAUUUAUUUUGCCUUAAAAUUUUAAAAUUAACUCUUCAUUUAUUUUUUUUGGUUUUUUUAUUAUUUAAACUUGUAUUAUUUAUCAAAUCACCUUAAAAUAGAUGAAAAAAUUAACCUAUGUUAAUUUUAUUGAUAUAGCAUCCACGUGUAUAUCACAUCAGCAACAUUAACAAACGUUAAUUUUUCCAUCUAUUUUAAGGUGUAAUAUGACAAACAACAUAAAUUUAAAUAUUAAAAAAUAAAAAUAAAAAAGAGAAUUAAAAUAAUUUUUUUAUAAAAUUAGAAGGUUAAAAAAAUAAUUAUCUCAUUUUAUCAUAAAAGGUUGGGCUUGAACCGUCCUUAGUGGAUCCAACACGAUUUCAUUCGCUUAAUUCUAGUUUUAUUUUUUUGGUUAUGAUAAAAUUUAUUUAUAAAUCGAUUUAAGUGAAUUUAUUAGUCAAUUUGUAGUUUUUUUCAAAUUUUUUUAAAUGCUAGGUGCCAACACAAUAAAAUCGAGACUUGUCAGCAUGACUACCACAUGAUAAUGAAACAACUAUGAUAAAAGUAAUAGGUAUUAUCCAUUACGGGGCCUUUCUUUAAUCUCAUAUUUCCUUUCGUAAUUAUCUUUAUUUUUUUUAGUUGAUUAACUUUUAACUCGAUUAGUAUCGAAGGAUGUAAGGUCGAGUAUGUUUUAAGUACAUUAUUCUCUUAUUUAAGAGUUGAGAGGAGUUAUGGGUAAUUUUAUGCAUUAUACCAAAAAGUACAGAUAUGAUCAAUAACAUAUAAUGAGAUUAAUGUUUAAAAAAAAUCAUUUCAAUCUUCUAUUUAAUUUCUAGUUUCUUCUACUCAUUGAAUUUAUUUUAUUUGUUAAAUCACUUCAAAAUAGAUAAAAAAUUAACGUUUGUUAACUUUUUUGACAUGUAUGCCACGUGGCAGUCUAUAUGUACGCCACAUUAACAAUUGAUUUUUAAAAAAUUAAAAAAUAUUUAUACUUUUUAUACUUUUUUUAAUUAUUCUAAUUUUUUUAUAAUUUUUAAUUUUUUUAAAAAAUUAAUUUAUUGUUUGUGACACACACAUGACAAUUCAGUAAAGUUAAUAGAUAUUAAUUUUUCUAUCUAUUUGAGAGUGAUCUGAUAAAUAGUACAAGUUUAAGGAUUAAAAGAGAAUAAUUUUUUUAUAAAAAUUAGAGGAUCAAAUAAAUUAUUAUGUUAAUUACAAAACCAAAGAUAAGAUUAAAGAAACUAUAUUAUAAAGUGUUUAAAAAAAAUCUUAGGUGGCAUAUUUAAAAUGAUGGCAAGUGGAUAAUGUCUUUGCUCUGACACAUUAACAGUUUAUAUAUUCAAUGUAGGCCCACAAUUUAAAAUACAUUUUGAAUUUAUACAAUUAUUUAAAAAAUAUGUUUUCUAACUAAAAAGAAUUAAAACACUUAAUAAAAUAUAAAUAUUGUUUUUAACAUUUUAAAAAUUGAUUAUAAUAUGUUUAUCAUAUGAUAAAAACAUAUUUAAGUUAUUAAAUAAUAUAAUUAAAAUUAGAUUUUUUUCAAUUAGAAUUAAAAUAGUCAAUUUAAAUCAUAAAAAAUAAGAUAAUGAAUUUAGAAUAUGUUUAAAAAAUGUAUAUCGUUAAUAUGAAAUUUAAAAUAAAAAUAAUAAAGACUACUUUAAAAAUAUUGCAAAAAUUAAAUUUGUUUAAAACUUGUUUAAACAUUAUAUAAAAUUAGGGAAUAAAUUGUAUCAGAAUCAUCUUAAAAAUCAUAGUUUUUAAGCACUAAUAAAAUAAUAUCACGUUAUUAAAUUUUAAAAAUAACAAAAUAUUAUUAUACACUCAACUAUAUCUAAUAUUUUCUCCCAUUUAAUUUAAAUUUAAUUAAACUAUUUAAAAUAAUUAAUUUUUUUAAAUUAUAAACAAACAUAUUUUCUUCUUUUUACAAAUUUUAAUCAUUUUGUUUUUUUUCAUAAGUUUUUUUUUGCAACUAAAUUUAAAAUAAAACAGUAACUUUUGUGCAAUUUUUUCCAUGUCGACACAUAAUUUUGAUAAUUAGUUUACCCUAAAUCUUAAACCUUAAAUCUCAAAUCUUGUUAUUUAGGGUUUGAAUUUGGGAUUUAAUGUUUUGGGUUUGAGUUUAGGUUUUGGGUUCGAGGUUUAAGGUUCAUGUUUAGGGUUUAAGGUUUUAAGGUUACAGGUUAUGAGUUUGGAAUUCAUGGUUCGUGUUCAAUGUUACAUGUUUGAGGUUUGGGGUUAUGGUUUAGUGUUUUAGGUUUUGUAUUUAGGGUUCGACAUUCUAGAUUUAGGAUUCAAGGUAAAAAAAUUACUAAAAUUAUGUUUUAAUGACAUUAAAAAAAUUGUUGAAAUGUCAUUAAAUAAUUGAAAAAGAAUCGUGAGUAAUGUGAUGGGAAGGAUCUAUAAAAUAAUUUCUCUAUAGAUAAGUGUAUAAUAAUAAUUUCAUGUCUAAAAAAUUUGAUGAUGCCUAAAAAUUUUAAUUUUUAAGAUCAUUUGAACGUAUGUUAUUCUUGUAAGAUUACUAAAAAUUGUUUAUAAUUAUAAUUUUUUUUUUUUGCAAAAACGUGUAUAUAUACUGACCUAAAGAAUACUUUUAUAAAUAUAUGUAUGUUUAAUUGGUACAUACUCUUAUUUUCGAAAAAAUAUUUAAAAAUUUUCUAAAUAUUUGAAAGAAUUACAAGUUUAUAAUUUGUUUAAAUUUUAUUAAUACUAGUCUUAUAUAUGAGGAUGAUGGUCUAUAUAGUAUAGGUAAAAGUCAUGAACCCUGAUUCAUUACAUUACAUGUGGAAUUAUGGAUUACAUGGGAGUUUUACACAGUGGGCAAUGGACAUCAUUUUAAAAUGUUCCAUCAUUCAAGGGGAAAUUGAUCUGGGGAUGAUAAUAUCUCCAAUGUUGUUGUGCCAUGGAUCAGCCAAGUGAGUUGCCAAGUUCUCCAAUGGUCCAGUUCCAGGGUAAGCUGAUUGUUGAACACAAAAUCCCACAAACGCCAACAAUGCCAAACGACCUGCAAACAACAAAAUCAAUCGGAUUUUCUUGGAUGGGUAGCUCAACUCUCAAACAAUUCUCAUCAAACAUAUAAAAAAAGGGAUUGAAGUUCUUUACCGUUCUUGAUCUCUUUGACUUUGUAUUCCUCGAACUUUUUAGGGUCCUUGGAGUAUCCCAAGGGGUCGAAAGCACCGCCGGGGUACUUCUUUUUCUCGGUAUCUUUCUCCAUGCUGCGUUGGUGCUCGACGAAGGCGAUGGCAAGGAACUCGAUGACCAAGAUUGUUGGGAGAGUUCCCCAUGGAACAGGGUUGCCUAAGUAAGUGGCUUGCCCACCAGGAACGGCUGCCCAUUCUUGUGCCUUUACCCAGUUUCCAUACCCCAAUGCCUCUGGCACCAAUAUACCAGGCUGCAAAUUAUAGUUUUAUUAGACUCAAUUUGAGGAUUUAGUUAAUUUUUUAUUUAAAUAUUAAACCUUUUAUUGAUUUUAGUGUUACGAGUGAAUCCAACACCAACACAGUUGAAUGAUAAUGAAUAUAUUCUUACUUUAUAAAAUAAAUUAUAUUAUUUUAAAACUUAUUUUUAUCAUUUUAUAUCUUUUAUAUAAAGAAAUAAAUAUAUAAAUAUACAUAAUAAAAUUUGGACCAAAGUCUCUAGAGCUUUCAAUAUUUAUACUUUGUCGUUCAACCAAAAUCUCAUUUGUUAGACAUAUAUUUUUAUAUAAAUAUAACAUAAUUUUGCUUUUUCUUUCUUAUAAUGAGUGUGGUAUUUUAAUAUAUAUAUAUAAAAUAAUAAAAUAUAAUUAUUGUGAUAAUUCACUUUUAAAAUGGGCUUAUUUAAAGAGAAACAUUUGCCGUUAUAGUGAUUUAAGGUAAGUAAGAGGACUAAAUUAGACUAAAUUAAAAUAUAGAGACUAAAACCAUAAUUUGAGGGAAGAAAACACUUACAACAGCAAGCAUAGCCCAUCUGCAGUGAAUCAACUCAGAUUCCUUGUAUCUCUCAAGGUUCUCCGGCACCUCACCAAGUCUAAGUGGAUCAAAUCCAAAGUCACUGAAAAACCAAAUAUAUAUAUACACACAUUCAUAAGAAAUACUUAAAAAUUGCUACAAAAAGAAAAGAAAGAUGGAAUUUUUUUGUUUGAAACUUUACCCAGGUGCUGAACCAUCAAGAUAAGGAGGCCUAGGCUGACCAGGCAUCCAGUCAGCCGACAUGCUAACACGGUGACCAACAUUGGCGCCAAAGCUAGGCAACGGCGUAGCGGUGGAGAACUUGGACUUUGAAGAGGAAAGCACUGAAGGGAAAGCGGUGGCGAUGCCACAGCUCAUCAAUGUGUUGGUGGCGGCCAUGGGAGGAAAAUGGGUUUUCGUUUGGGG